AAAUAGCUUGUUUAGUUAAUCAGGUUCAUACUAUCUUGAAAAGAAAAUAAAAAUGUUAAAAAUAAGUAAGCCCCAUGUGAGUAUGCUCAUGGCAUAAAACCCGUAAGUACAUUCACUGUGGUGGCAUAAAAAUAAAAAUAUUUUUCUGUUCCAUAAAAAUGAAAAUAUAAAAAAUAAGACUGUGAUCCUACCAAAGAGAGUAACAUUUAUUGAGGAGGCUCAACAUGAUAAAGGCGAGAUAUUUAUGCUAACACUUAACUAGUUCCACAAAGCUUUGUUGUCUAUUUGCGCUCCACAGAAUUCAAGGAUCAAGAAGACUAGCAGACGGAGGACAUCCUAAUCGUUGUCAGGGUGCUGCCAACAUUCAAAUACACCUCUGCCACCUGCUAGCUACACGAGAAGAGAUUACGUCAAAAUCUAGCUUGGGGGAGAGCACCCCCAUUUAUCUAGCUAAGUGUUUCUAUCUACGUUUAUACUUAUACUUUGUUAAAAUAAUAAAAAGAUACAUAAUCAUAAAAACCAAAAUAAAGAUUUUGUGCUUAUAGAUAUAUAUAUACUUUUGCUUAGUUUGCUAAAUAAAUAAAUAAAGUGGCUAUACUAAACUGAAUCUUAAUAAUAAACUCUAGCAUGGAUAUGAUGAAUAGUUGCUCUGUCCAAUUUUUAAUUUGAACCUCUCUCUCUCUCCAGUUACAUAACUGUUAUAAUUUAAAGCUUGUUCUAAACCUGAACUUGUCGGAAGAGAACUUGAUCUAAAGUCUAAGUCGUUAACGGAUAUGAUAUGGGAAGGUUGAGCUGUUGUUUAUCUGUUCUUAGAGAUGCUAGAAUUAUGGAGAAUUUUAUCUUUGAAAAUCUUUAAAAUAUUGCAUGAUGAGUUAUUGUAUGACAAGAGUUUAAAUUCCUACAACAGCCAUAUAUACAUGCUUAUUAAACUAAAAACCAUACAUUUACUUUUUGCUGCCUAUGAGCAUUGAGUGUGGUCAAGCUGUGUAGACCCUUAGGAGCUUGUCAUGCGGUUAAAAUCAAGAUUCACUUGCACGUUCACUCAUACAUGUUGCUUCUACUCCGGAAGUAUGCAUCCACAUACAUCCACUCAUUUCUAUCUCCAGAUUCACCCAAAAUUAUUCUACUCCUAUCUAGGAGAGAAUAGCCAAAAAUAUUAUCCUAUCCCUGUUAUUCCCUGUGAAAUAAAUGCUUGAGAUAUUUAGGUUACUACCACUUGCUACAUUAUUCUAGGAGGGUGAGUGCUCUGAAAAAAAGAGUGAAUACAAGGAAAUAAAAAGGGGGCAAGUGUCCGGAACCUCGAAGAAAAGAAAAAGUAAGACGAGAGGUAAAAAUGGACAAGUGUCCGACGGUAGAAUUAGGGGUACAAGAUACCCACCUGAGAGAAAAAGAAAAAGAAAAUAUAGAGCAUCUCAUUCUCCUCAAAAAGCUUCAAAGUGCAAGAAAGGUAUGUAUCCCCUCAAAAGAGCAAAAGUAGAAUUAGACUUUCACCAUUGUUUUCACCAUCAUCACCAUACACCAUUCAUUCGCCACACAUGCACAUCUUGAUAUUGACUUAAUGACUUGUUUAUCUGGAUCCAUGGUUUGACUAUGCAAUAAAUAUCUUGUAAGUAUGUAUACUUUAUCUCCCACCUAUGAGCUCCAGAUAUCAAAGCCUUAUUAGAGUAGGAUGAGAGAGAAGGCAAUGUCACUCUGCUUCGUACCACAAAUACUACAUACUUUGAGAGAAGGCAUACAACAUCACUGCCUUGGUAAGGAUCUAGAGAUACCACAACAGAGAGAAUUGAGAGAGUCAUACAAGGAAUCUCUGAGUUUUAUUUUGAAAAUCUGCAAAAACACCAGAGCUAUAGUUGAUCAAAGAACAAGAGACAUGGUGCUUGAUUUGACCAUUCUAUCUUUUAACUGCUCAAGACAUAAGUGUCAGUUGCAAGCCCCAUGGUGGAAGGUAAAAUGAGUAAGUUUUAUGUCUUAACAGUUUACUCUAACUCAGAGAUAAGACCGUGUUUGAAAUCAUGUGUACCGUCAACUUUCUAAGGCAUUGCAGCAACUUCUGAUCCAUCACUAAGUCUAUCCUUGCUCAGGGACGAGCAAGAGGUAAGCUUGGGGGAGUUUGUUGACGGUCUUUAAGUACCAAAUUUAAUCAUAAAAUAAAUAAAGAAAAGGAUCCAAAUGCAACCAACACCCAGACUUAUGGUUUUAUCUCACAAAAUUCCACGAGUUUUGGUGUUUGUCUAUUUCUACAGGGGGUUAUCAGGAAAUAUGGAGGAAAGGCCCAUAUGUCGGGUUUACAUAGAGAUAUUAACGUGUGCGGCAAUUUUCUAUCAUCUAGAAGACUCCAAAAGCUGUGGGAACAAAUGGGAGGCUGAGCGGGCCCUGGGGCAGGGUGCCCGCCCUCCCCCCUAGGGCGCCCGCCCUAUUGUCUCAGCCAAUCAGGCCCCGCCUCAUGGAUUAUGCUACGCCGACCUAAGGGAUUAAGAAAAACCAUGCGAUUAUGGUCGGUUUGAUCCGACAGCCCAUGUUCAUUUGGAAGCGCUAUAUAAGCAGGCCCCCUGGCCCCUGGAGGAGGCAUUCUCAUUCUCAAACCCGAAUUCAUUCAUCCAUCCAUCCGAGUCUCUGAUCAAGCCCUAGAGCCACCACAUCAACUAGAUCUCUUUAAGUCUUGUGAGUCCAACAGAAAUAAAAGGAUGAAUAAUAAUUUAAAAUCAACAACAAAAUACUUAUCUAUAUAUUAAGGUGUGAUCAUAGAGUGUUACUACAGUCAGUCUAGUUUAGAGUCAAAUAAAAAUUAUAGAAUAUUAAAAUUUUGUCUUAGAAAUGAUGAAUAGUUGCUCUAUAGUAAUUCCUUUCAAGUGCUUAGUUUUCAACCAUGAAUUCUCCUAAGUUUUAGACAUGAUCACUUUGAUAUAAGAAUUUACUCUGAACUUAAAAUUUGUGGAGGCAUAUGUUUAAGCUGAGUCUAGGUAACUGAUGUUAUACAUAAAGGUCUAAGUAGCUGUUUAUCUUAUUCCUAGCAUUACUCAGUAUUGGAGAUUUAUUUUGAAAACCCAAAAUCUUACAUGAUGAGCUCUUGUAUGAUAAAGUUUAAAUUCCUACCAAAGCCAUAUAUGAUACAUUUAGAGUUAGGAAAAUGUUUGCACAUUGAUGCUCCUUGCUUUACAUUGAGUUUAGUCAACCUUUGGAGUAUACCUUAUGAGAGUCGUAUCAUGCUUUAAAAAUCAAGAUCACUUACGCACUCCACCCACAUAUGCAUUACUCCUACUCUGGGAUGUAAGCGCAGUCAUUUCACUUUCAUUCAUAUCCACCUUAAAAAGAUGUUUUCUCCUACACUAGGAGUGAACACCCAAAAAUAUACCCUAUAUGACAGCCCCCAUUUAAUUGCUCUAAGUUUUUGUCAUUAUCUCUCAAAUUAUUUAUAUUGAAAGGAUGCAUGUGGCUAUGCAAAAGUAUUUUUUUAAAAAAAAAAAGAAGAGAAGAAAAGUGGGAGUAAAAGAUGGACAAGUGUCCCAACAAUUAAAACAAUGGGUACAUGGAUGCCCGCCUCCCGCAGUAAUGAAAAAAAGGAGAGUGACAAAGAGAGAAUAAAGAUAGCACAUGUUUUCCUAUGAAAAGUUCUAAGGAGGGAGUAAUUUUCAAAGAGCAAAAGUAUAAUUAGGAUUUGCCACUAAAUACUAUAUAUACACCUAUCCACCAUAUUCCAUACACAUGCACAUCUUGAUUUGAUUGUAUGCCUUGAUUCUUUAUGGAUCCAUUGUUUGACUUUACAAUAUAUGAAUUGCAAGUAUGCUCAUCCUUGUUAUUCCCACUCCUAUAAGCUCCACUAUAUAUAUCCUUAGUUGUAGGAAGGCACAACCUCAUUAAUGAAUCAGCAAGAUCCAUAAAUACUACAUAAUAAGAUACUUGAGGGUGUCAUACAAUCAUGCUCUGAGCUUUAUUUUGAAAACUUGCAAAACUCCAGAAUAUUGGUACAGUGAAAAAUUUGAGACAUAGUGCUUGACUUGAUUGUUCUAUCUUUUGAUUACUCAAGACUUAUGCAAAAGCUGUAAAGCUCCAUGGUUAGGUAAAAUGGGUAAGUUUGAAAGUUAGACCAGAGGACAAUUUAUGUUUAAAAGCAAGUGUACUUAAAAGAAAUGAAAGUAUUCUAGCAACUCCUGAUCCAACUUUAUUAAUUAGAUCUAGGUUGUUUUCCAAGGGACUGGCAAAAGGUAAGCUUGGGGGAAUUGUUGAUGGUCGAUAAUGUCAAAAUUUAUUAGAACUAUAGACACAAGGGAACACAUGAAAACAAAUUAGUAUAGGGUUUAAUCUAACAAUUUCCACGAGUUUUGCAUAUUCUGUAUUUUCUAGUGUUUAUUUCACAGAGAGCUGAAAAGAGGGAUUCUAGUGCAUAUUUGCAACAAAACUCAUCCGUGAUGGAAAACAUCACGAGAAGACCCAGGAAGGGUCUAGAAGACACCCGAAUGAAAGAGAGCCACGGAGGAGAAAAGGUGGGGCCAGCCGGCCCCACCCUAGGGCCGGUCGGUGUCCUAUUUUGCCCGAUGGCUGCCGCCUUCUGGAGACUUCCUCCUAUGCCUCCUUGGAAGCAAAGCAAAGUAUCCCUCCGUCGAUUUUAAGUUGGUUUGAUCCGAUGGUACACACAAGAUGAAUAUGCGGAUCGCUGACGUGGCGCUUCCUUGCCCCCUACUCCACAUUGGCCUAUAAAUGACGCCCAAGGCUCCCCCCAAGAGGCAUUCUACACCCAGUACUUCAUAUUCUCUACAUAAUUAGGGUUAGGGUCCCUCUAGUUCAUAUAGUUCUAGUUCAUCUAGUUCUAGUUCAUCUAGAUGUAGCAAUUAAAAGAGACUAGUUCUUCUAGAUCUAGUCUUGUUUAGAUAUUUGAGAGAUUUGAGUAGAGGAGUAGAGAUUCUGGAGGAGUUUUGGCAUAUUGGUGCUUCUUCAUGGCUGUAUUCUUCUGGAUCCAGUUCCCUCGCCCGGAGCUGCUUCUGAGGUACUUUUGUACUUACCAUUCUGAUUUAAGUAAGCAACUUGUUCUUAUUCAUUCUUUGGUUCACAACUCAUAUUGAGUGCUUUGAUCGGUCAUUACUUGGUUGAAGUAGUAUUUCGUAGUGUAGGUGUGGUAGUUCGCAUAGUAUUACUUGGUUGAAGUAGUAUUACUUGUGGAUGUCCUCUGAUUUGCCAAACUGUGGUAGUUCGCAUAGGUGACUUUAUAGCUGUGUUGAUUCCUCUGUAGUCCACAUCCUAUUGAUAGGACCGAUAGGCUUAUAGGUGCCUGGUAGGAGAUUACUCUGUUUCUUCUCCUAUUCGGGUUACUUGCCCAAUAAGACGAUACUAUACAAAGUUUACUGGAGUCAGAACCUUAGUGCAUUAGCUAUUUCCUUUUUCUUGAUAUCAUCUAGCCUAAUUGUAGGGUUAAUUCUAUAUACUUUGUCAUCACCACAACUGUUCCCUGUGGAUACGAUAUUUAAAACCUCAGGGUAAAAUGUGACACUGGUAUGAUAUUUGUGCUCUUGCGGAUAAUCCUACUUAAAACUUAUUUAAUGGAGUGUACUUAAUUUAUACCAACAAGCAUUUUUGGCGCCGUUGCCGAGGAUAGGUUUUAUCUCUAUUUUUAGCAAUGACAUUAGAAGUGUCAACACCCCGCCACGGGUGCCCUAGGCUAAGACGAGCCAGCUUCAAAGGCCCUAUUGCGAGACUUAGACGCACUAUAGUUGUUGUUGUUCUCUUGAGUCAAGGAGUCACUGAUGUAGGUGUUGGAAGUGGUCAGGGUUCCAGUUCCCAUUGUCUUCAGCAUCUUAGGGCUCAAACCCCCCCCUAGAAACUAGUGAUCUUCUUAGCUUCAGUGUUCACGCACUCUAGAGCGUAACGAGCAAGAUUGUUGAAAGCAUGCAAGUAUUCCUUCACGAUCUUUGUAACCUGGCACAACUUCAUGAACUCAGAGACCUUCAUUUCCACCAAGCCUGGUGGGAUGUAGUUUCCUCAGAAAGCAGUGGUGCAGCGAUUCCACGUGAUAGAGGUUCCCUCGGGAUAGGUGGUGCGAUGGUGAGACAACCAAAUCCCAACGGCCCUUGCAGUUGAUGUGCUGCAUAUUCCACCUUUAGUUCUUCUAUCAUCCUAACCAGACUGAAUUUCUGCUCCAUCGUAUUGAUCCAUUCAUCUACCUGCAACGGCUCUACAACUUCCUUAAAUUUUGGUGUCCAUGAAGUCUUUAAAAGAGUAGUACUGACUAACUUCAUGACCACCUAGGUUAGCCCCACGGCGGGUAUUGUCGGCGAUGUUGCAUAGAGCAGCUUCCAUGUUUUGCUGCAUAUGCUCCAUGUUGUGUUGACUAAUGAGAAACUGCACAAAGAACGUCUUUGCAGUGUAUGGAGGAGGAGGAGGUGGUGGCACUUCCCGGUUCUCAUUCUUGCGGUUAUGCCCUCCGCCUCCUGACGAUCCUUCUCCUACCACUCGGUUGCGAUUACCAUGGGUUUCCACCAUCUGCAUGCGUCAUUGGUAAGCAAUCAUUAGGAGUCACCACACCACAACCUUUAAAUAGCUAUGGACAAUCCGUUGCUGAAAGGGGUGUACAAUGAUGGACAGUCCGUUGCUAAAGGCUAUAGCAACGGAUCUCUGCCGUUGCUAAUGUAGCCGUUGUUGUAUGUAUACAACAACGGACAAUACAUUUAGCAACGGACAAUUCAACAGUCCAAAGUUUAGCAACGGACAGCCUGUUAGAGCUUUCAGCAACAGAAAUUCAUUGCAAUAGAAACUUUCAGCAACGGACAGUCUAUCGAUCUCAAUUACAUAGUAAAAAAAUACUACAUGUAUUUAAAACUGGAUUAAACAUUCAGAACUAAUACAAUAUUGAAUUGCACACACAGGUGGGUACAUUAAUCAUACUCUCAUCCAUCUAUAUCAAAUGAGAACAUAUAAUCCUUGUCUCGACAUAUCUCAUGAACAAAAACAAACUAGCACUCGCUAUCUAUGGAAGCCACCAAAAAUUAGGUAAACGCUCAAAAUACACAACCAUCCUCUAGUGUGAAAUGAAAUCACUAAACUGUACCAUACCGAAGUGUUCAACAUCUUCUGAAAUGUGCAACUAUCGAAGCUAAGGACCCACUACAUGGAUAGGAAGAGCACCUGCACAACCAAAAUAGAUAGAAACUGAAUGAGAAAGUACUAAAAGUUUUAUGCUUUUGUACACAAGUCUUACUUUUAUAGUUUUGUACACAUGUAUAGCACUAAAAUAUAUGCAAACUAGCAGGAACCCCAAUAGUGAAGAAUAAGCACCAAGUAACAAAUGGGACAAAUAAAUGCAUGUACAAAAUGAAACUAAGUUCAUAGUUUAAGAUUCAAUAGCAAGUAUAGAAGUAGGGAAAAUAUUCACAGGAAUAGCCGACAAUCUAUCAUAGCUAUUUCCUAUAAAAACAAUGUACCACAACUUACAACAUGGAAGUCGUGCCCAUUAUAGUACUAUCCUAGUUUUUGCAUUGUAUAGGUAUAACUUAGCUUUUUAUAUACAUUUCUAGAUGCAAGAUUGACAGAAGCAGCAAUGCUGCUAAGAACUAUGAAGGUUCACCACUGUAUCAUACUCACUUUGCAGCUCCACCCAAAGAUACCAACAUUAUAAUUGAUAAUACAUGAAAAAAUUAGCAAUGGUAAUGGCAACUUCAUGAGGCAUAGUCAAGCAAUCACCAUUUUCUGUUGCCAAUAUUUUCUAACCAAUACUGUGUUAUUAUAGAUAACUGAAAGCCUUAGUUCAGAACUGAGAGCAUCAGACAAAGCUGGUUUGGGUUUUAGUGUUAGAUGUAUUGUCUUUGCUACUUGCUUCAUAUCUGAAAGUACAUCUGACUAUAGUUACACUACUAUCUUUACUACUGGCAUCUUAAUCUAAGUAUGGUAUAUGAUGAGAUGAUGUAGCCAGUGUUUUUUGAGUUCCAUAUUGUUUUCCUCGAACAAGAAGCCUAUAACAAAUCAUUUUCUAAGAAUCUGAUACUAACAUGUUAUUCCCUAAACUGGAAAUGGUUUAGUGCUCCUUAUCUAAUAAUUCCUGCAUUUCUCAGUGUUAAUAGAUGUUUUACUAUUUAAACUGUAAAAAUCUCUAAACGGUACUUAGCAUGAUAUUUCUAUGAUAUACUAGUUGAAGCAACAUUACAUAGGCCAAUAUACCUAUGAUAUAUAGUUAAUCCCAUCGAUGAAGUUAAUGCCUAGAAGCUGAAACGUGAGAACACAAAGGUUCAGACAAGGAAUCUGGAAUGGACGCUGAAACGUGAUGCAUUAUAUUAUCUAUAAUAAGCUGAACAUCAUAACACAAAGGUUCAGACAAGAAAUUUGGCAAGGAAAACUGAAACAUGGAGUUUGGUGUAUACUGCCUUUUCAUGUCACUAACUACAAACUGCCAGCACAUCAAUAUGGCAUAAUGUCUGAUAAAGACAGGUGAAACCAAAAUUUACUGUUAAAGAAGAUUAACUGCAAGAUUAACUCACAUAAAUUUCAAGCCUACAACAUCAGCAGACCAGUACUGGAAUGCAUGUAUAGAUAAAAUCAAAUUAUAUGUAUCAUUGGCUACAUCUUUCUUACACAAGUGGCUACCAAUACUCAAAUUUUCUUCUUAUUGAUACAUUAAAUUAAUAACUUCAGGUCUAUUUUAGAUAAUAAAUUCAGGCUAUUUAAAAUAUGAGAUGUCGUCCAUAUCAGGAAAUGCGAGAUUUACACAACUACAUAUUAUAGGCAACCUUUCUUAGUGCUGAGUGCAAGGAAUCUCCACAAGCAGUUUUGUUCAGACAUUUGAAGCUUAUUGUAUUAUUAACUCAACCCUAAAAAAGAAAUAUGCAAAUGUUACCUUGCUUCCAUCCAGACUUUAUAAGAACACAGCAGAAUAGUAGAGGCACUUGACGGAAUAGCAAAGGCACUUUGGCAAAUUUCUUGUCGGUGUUUUGCCCCCGGGGGGUAACACCAACGAGUGAAUUUGUGUGCGUGCUCCCUCUUUCGGAUGGUGAUGCAAGAAUAACACAGCGAUUUAUACUGGAUCGGGCAAGAGAAGGCCGUACGUCCAGUGAGGGAGGGGAUUUUGUAUUAUCUUGCACCUAAGUGCUUGUACAGGGGUGAAUACAGACUGAUGUAGCCAAGGGUUCUAAGUUCUGGCCGAUGGUGGUGCGUGGAUCGUAUUCUACGGGUCGUCUGUCUUGAAUCUCGCCCUCGGUGUCCCCUUUUAUAUUUCCAAGGGGAGACCUAGGUUAUAGGGUGUAGGCAUUAGAAUAAGCCUCGAUAGGGGUAUGGUGCACUAACUCACUCGAGGCCUCCGUACCGGCGUGGCCUCGAGCCAUGUUGUUACAGCGUACUUUGAUGAUGAUGGCGCGUGCGCUUCUGGAUUCAGCCCCUGUACAUCAUCUUGGAUUUGCUCAGGCAUAAGCAUGCUUGUACAUUGUGGCAGUAGUCACGUCUAGGGUUGUUAAAGCGCUGACUUUCAUCGCCUGAUCCUUCCCAAAGAAGGGAUGUUUCUGCUCGAGGGUCAGGCGCACGAGCAGCUUUGCUGCGUGGGAACGCUGACUUCGGGUGCCUUGAGAGAUACCGUGAUGGGAUAUCACGUCUGCUAUACUGUGUCGAGUUGUACUUUUGCCCAUUUUGGGGGAUAAAACUGGAAAAAGUGGAGAUUUGACGGGUGCUUGUUCCCUAUCACGUUUCCUGUGAUUGUCGGGUUAGGUGGGAGCAUGGCAGACACAUUAAAUGCCCUGGCUUCCAUACCCGCGACAGGCGGUGGGAGGCGCUUUUGCGCUCGAGACCCAUCGAUGCACUCGAGCCACUUUUCGUACUGGACGGUCGCAGUUCAUCGAGCCUCUGUUGAUUCGCAGGACCUUGCUCCCGUGUUCGAGGCCACGGUCGACAUCGAGCUCUGGCGAUUAUAGGUUUAGGUCAGAUCGUCGAGUUAGAGUCUCGAUUUGCUCACGGAUCCCCCCGUUAUUGAUGUUGGUUGGGAUACCCCCUAUUGGUAUCAUUGACAGUAGCCCCCGAAUCUCUGCUUGAGUGCUUGUGCUCGAGUAGAGGCUCUUCCGUUGGUCGAAUUUUCAUGGGGGUCGCGCGAGUGACCCCUGUGGGGGUAGCCCCCGAGCAUUUUGAGGGGUCUUUGACUCCUUCGAGGGCUAUACUGCUUUUUCUGGUGGGACCACUCCCAAUCUCCCCUUUCUCCAAAAUGCGUUUGCUCUGGAAGGGGGCUUCCGACCCUUAUCGGCCGGCCUUACCCUUUUGAGGCUGGGAUCAUGACGUACUCCGGGUGGAGCGAGCGUCAUUGCCCAAGGUGAUUUCCUAUCGGGUGAUCCAAGCGAGAACCCUUGCCCCGUUCGAGGGGGUUGGCUGCAGCCUGGAGGCGUCCUCAUUAAAGCGGGGCUAGUGUGGUCGGGAUGCUGGUCUCGUUCGACAAAGUCCAACGGCUCGAUGCCUCCCUUCGUGGGGAUUCCUCUCGACAUUCUUGCCCCUGCCUUGGAUACUCCUAGCGAAUUUUCGAGGCAAGCCUCGUUUUCGACCCUUCGCUUGGUGUCCGUGACUCUGGUACUCGAGGGUGACCGUCGAACCAGUCUGGCGGGACGGUCUGUGCUCCCUCAAGAUUCUUAUGGCGGCGGGCGCGUGUCUUACCUUGCAAUGGAAGGAAGAGUCGUGGCGGUUCAUUUUCUUGCUCGUUGGGCGUGCCUUUUUAGGAGGGAGUCGUUGUGGCACUGUGCCGUUGCGGAAUCCGUAACGUCCUAUUAGGGGGAGAAAGAAGACCGUUAGGCGGCACAUUUACUAAGGAGGUUACCGCAUUUGUUGGAUCUGCCCGUUGGGGUUGGGCGUCUAUAAAUAUCACUGGGUCUCUUAGCUGCUGUCUCUUCCACAUUCGACCAUUGCUCUCGCCGUUGCACCCCAUUGCUAUCUCUUCUUUAAGCGAAGCACACCCUCGAGCCAAAAAGACCCAUAGAACCGCCUUUCUCCUUCCGCCAGGAUGCCUGUGAGACUCGUCGCCCCUGACGAUUGGCGUCCAUCGUCCAUGACAGAGCGCUGAUUGAGGGACCUGGAGAAGGAGGGGCUCCUGCGCUCCCAUACUUCCUCGUCACGGCCUGAAUGGAUCGCGCCGCCGGUGGACCACCGGGAGCCAAACCCACCAAAGGGUACGUUGUCACCUUUGCCAAGUUCCACCGUCAUGGCCUCGGUUCGCCCCCAAGCCACUUCAUGAGGGUGCUCUGCCACCACUACGGCGUGGAGCUUCAACACUUCUCUCUAAAAGCCAUCACCACUUCGGCGAUCUUUGCCGCGGUGUGUGAGGGCUACCUAGGUGUGAUGCCGCACUAGGACCUAUGGCUCCACCUCUACCGGGGUGAGCUCUUUCGUGCUCUUGGUGGAGCCACAAGGGUGAGGAAGCCAGUGCAGGCUGGGUGCCUCAACCUAGUGCAGAAGACAGGCCAAGCGGAUGAAACACGAGAGUACAUCCCGAUCGGGCUGACGUCGAGCCACGCCCAUUGGGACUCCCAAUGGUUCUACCUCCGCAACGACGACGACCUUUUCCCCGCCUAUACCGGGCGGUUGAUCUCGGAGCGUCCAGAGAACUGGAAUUAUGGCGUCGUCAAGACCCUCCAGUCCCGACUCUGCCCCCUCCUCGACGCCCUAAAGACGUUGCACGAGGAAGGUCUCACUGCCGCGCUUGUUCUCUCGGCGGUCGACCAUCGACGGGUACUCCCGUUGAUAUCUCGACCACUUAGGAUGGAUGAGAUGGACCCUAGUGUCUCGUCUCGGGACCUCGAUGCAUGUCUGAUGUCCAACGAGGCGCCCGCGGAUGAGAAAGUUGCCGCCAGGGUUAUGUAGCUGUCGCGGGCGACUUCUAGCCGGCGCAGGUCAAUGGCUUUCCCAUGAAGCUCGAGGAAGGCUGCCUCGAUCUGGUAAGUACAUGGAGCCAUCUCUAUUCACCUUCUAUUGUUUGGUUCUGUCAUUCUUCUCCCCGUCUUUCCUGCAUUUAUGCUUGACUUUUACAAGGGGACGAGCGACUUUCUGUCCUCAAAGCCUCCAGUGAAGGAGGAUAAUGUCGACCGUGCGAAAAGGCAUGCUUCCGCCGAGAAGUAGAAAUCCGUAAAGGAUGCGGAGAAGAAGAAGACAAAGAAGAAGAACCUCGAGCGACAAGCGCUCGAGGUACGUCGAGCCAAGUCGAGGCAUGGGGGGGAGUCUGAGGAGGACUCCCCUGACGAGGACGACGAGAGUGAUGACAGCGACGAUGGCGAGGAUUCUGAGGGGACGGCGGCUCGCCUCAACAGGAUCCUAGAAGACUUGCCACGAACCGACGUCGAUACAUCGCGUGCGGGGGCUUCCAAAGGGCCACUAGGUGGGCCCCGCGACGGGUGCCAAAAGGAGGCGUCGCCAUGCCGCUCGCAUGCCGACAACCCCCUGCGCCCGCGCAGGGUCGUGUCAUUCCUCAACCGCAACCCCUUCCAGUGUCCGGCCCGAGCCAUAGGGUCAAAACCUUGGCGACGGGGCCGUUCACUCGCGGCCGUGCUGCUGUGGUGACUUUGAGCCAAGGGGAAGGGCACCGUAUGAGUGCUAGUCUCGGCGUUCGUCAGGUGGGAAGCAUGGAACCGAGGCCCGUGCCUACCCAGGAGAAACCAGGGGUCACAACGAGGGGUGGCUCGAGACCUGCUGGUCGAGGUACCGCUAGGAGGGUCGUCCAUCCUAUAGGGUAAGGUCUACGUGUUUUGAUUUUGAUUUUGAUGUCUUGUUCGUCUGUCGGUUUCCACCUCUUUAAUCUACUUCUUCUUUGCUCAGGCUGAAGAGGCCAUUGGAGCAGGCCCAGCCCUCGAUGCCCAAGAGGCUCAAGGCGGGGGCAAGCUCCAAGGCCUCGGGUGAGUGACUCGUUCCUCUUUUCAUGGUUCUGGGGUUAGCUUGAUUUAGCGCUAAGUCUCCUUCUGACUGAUGUGUCGCUUUGGGGCGUAUGCAGGUUCUCCCGACCCUCGACCACCAGCUGGUGACGAUAAGACCCUGCCUCGACCGUUGGAGGGGGCGAUGGCUCCAGAAUCGUCCUGCUGUCCCCUAGACGGUCCCAUGGUCAGGAGAGAGCCCCCAAGCCGCCCUAGUCAGGGGGAGUGGGCGACCCCAUCACUAUCAGUGAUGAGUCUGGUGGUGGUCCGCACUCGACAGAAGCUCAUGCCACGGUCAAGGGGGUCGAGACCCCUUAGGUUGAGGGACGGACACCAUGGCCCAUCGGGCUUCACUCCGUCGAGGAGAAGAAGAAGGACGAGGAGGAGCGGAGGGAACAAGAAGAACUGCGUCGACCGCAGGGGCAGCUGCCGCUUCAGCAAAAGGCGCAGGCACAGCAGCAGCAGCAGGCGCAGGAGUAGCAGCAGCAUCAGCAGGAGGAGCGGCGGCAGUAGCAGUAGCAGGAGAAGGAGCAGCAGCAGGAGAAGCCACAGCAGGAGGCGUCGGAGCGUCCGCAGCAAGAGCGGGGGGCGCAAGUGCAUCUCGAGGAGCAACUGGAGUAGUGUCAGCAGCAAGAGCUACAGGAGCUUCAGCAGCAGCAGCUCGAGGGGCUGUUCGAGCAGCAACCGCAAGGUCUGCACGAGCCACGGUCGCCACUGCUGCAAGGGCCCAAGACCGGGGAAGGGGAGCUGCCGGUUUAUGGUCUCCCGACUCCCGUGUGGCUCCAUCCUGGGGGGCCUGUUACCAUCCCGGCCGAGCCACGACGGGAGGACGGUGUCAUGGCGCUAGCAUGCGCCAUGCGCACACCGGCGGAUCCCCAGUUCGAGAUCAAAGAUACAUCUCUGAUAUCGAGGGGAUCGCCCCAGGGUUCCUUCACGGCCAACGGCCGUGGGAAGAUCUCAGCGCCGGCGGGGGAGACGAGGCUAGGACCUUUGGCGGCGGCAACGCAGACGAGGCCGGGACUUGGAGGUCACUGGAUCAUGACGGGCAAUUUCCUUCCCUUGUCAAUUUGUUCCUACGCCACGGAGGCUCGCUCAAGAUAGUGCAAGAUCUCAUCCGAGGCGUUAAAGCAUGCACGGAGGAGGAGAUGGAACACUGGGGGCCGGGAGGAUCCGUCUUCGAGCCUCCACUUCUCUGGAUGAGCCCAAUAUCAUGAUGGAUGAUCAGAAGGAGACAGAGAAGUGGGAGCACCUAGAGGAGCUUUGUCUUUGGAUGAAGCAUGUCGUGGGCCAGGCUUUCUUUGUAAGUAGCUUUGGACUUUUGUUACUUGGGAGCUUUUGUUAGGCUUGCGUUCUUACUGCCUUGUGAUCUACUGCAGGAUUUGAAGGAGACCUCCCGCCUGAAAUCAGGCUUUUUUCACGCGACGAGGGGCGGUUGGGAGUAGCUCCCUCUUCUUAAGGAUCAACUCCUCGAGUCACAAGAAAAGCUCCUCCAGGCCUACAAGGAUCUUACGGCGGCUUUGGAGGAGAAGAAGGAGAGGGAGGCUGCUCUGACCGAGGCUAAGAAGACCCUAUCUACUAUGGACAGCAAGGUCUCCCGAACGGAGGAGGAUGCCCAAGUCGCUCGGGAGGCCUCGGAGAGGGCAAAGGAGGAAGCCGCGCAAUCGAGGGAGCGGGCCGUCUUGGCUGAGGAUGCGGCUACCAAGGCACAGGGGGGGGCGUGUGGUAUAAGGGCGCGGCCGCCGAGCUAGACAAGGAGAAUAGCCUCGUAGAGUCAGAUAUUGUCGCCACCCGGAGCACCUACCGUGGAAUAAAAGAGGAACUCCUGAAGAGUGAAAUUGCUCGAGGUGUAGCAGAGGAGGCUGAGAAGAAGGUGCGCGAGGACUUCCAGGCAGACCGGAUCCGCUCUCACGGUCUUUCUGAAAACGUUGAUCGUUUGAAGAGGAUGCUGGGAGAAAAGGAGGAAGCCAUCUUACAGUCGGGUAAGAUGAUCGAGGACCUACGGGUCAAACAUAUGGAUCUGUCUCACUCUUACAAGGAGAUCGAGAGAGCUAACACUGACUUAGUUGGUGAGAACACGGCUCUCAAGGAAAAGAUUCGCGGUAUGUUUUUCGUGCUCUUGUGUUUCUUUUUGUCGGGUUUUUUUUUGUAUCGUCUAACUCUCCUAUCUCAAUCUUUGUAGGGCUUAAGGAUGAUCUGCUGGCCGCCCAGGUCGACGCUCUAACCAGAAGAAUAAGGACUGCGAUAAAUGACCUCUCGAUCUCCUGGGAGCUCGAGCCAGCGGAUGAGUCGAGGUAGGCGGCUCGAGGCGACGCUCUAGUCGACUAGUUGUGUUACCUGGGUGCCACUCUAAGGGAUCGGGUGCGGGACGCGCUUCAUACUGGGGUGAAGUGGGCGAUGGUGGUUGUCUGCUCGGGCUUCUCCUACGAUAUGGAGGUGGUGUCCCACGGUUUCAUCACCGACAUCUCCAAGACUGAUGCUGAGAAUGAGGAGAGGCUCCAUGCCUUGAUCAACGAUGUGGAAGUUCGUGGCGAGAGGUUGGCGAAACUGUUCGAGCCAGUGGUGCUGCCCCCUGGGACCGACGUGGGUGUAGAAGACUAGAGGCGGAAGGGAAGACUAAGGGCCUACGAGCCUAAUCUGGGUACUUAGACCCAUUGUAAUAUAUUUGGCAUCUGUCUUGGUUGAAUGCUAUGGCUCGAGUGACCUUAAGACUCGUGGUUUUUAUGUACAUUUGCUUGCUUUUAUGCUUGAAUUUGCUUUGUUUCCAUUACUUCUUAAGUUUGUAUUCAUCGUUCGAUCUAUUGUUAGGGCGACCUUGAUUACCUCGAGGGUGAGGGAGUGAGUAGAGUUACCAUAGCCCGGGGGCAUAGGGGUUCUCAGGCUCGUCGUCCCUUGACCCUUGAGGGGCUCGAGGUACCUUUAUUACUCGAUCGUGUUAGGUUUCCUUAGAUCUUAACAAGGAAAAGAAGGUAACGCUUGAGCCUUUGAGAAAAUCAUUUGGUUUUUAAGAGCCUGUGGGGGGGUGUCCCCCUAUUAGCCCCCGAGGGAGUAUCGACUUAUGAUGGGUCAUGGUCGAUACUUCCUCUCUAACAUUGAGGUUUAGCUGGCAAUAAGAGUAUAUUACUUGAAAGUGUACUUUCAUUUAUUCAAAUAUUCAUUCACGGGGUCUUGGUACAAUAUAUGCAUGAAAACAUAAAGCCUCGAAGCUCUAAGGGUAGAAGCGACGUAGUUGUUCGAUGUUCCAUGCGUUGGUGACACUGUCCCCUUUUCAUCUGCUAGCUUGUAUGUCCUUGGCUUCAAGACCUCGGCCAAUAUGUAUGGGCCCUCCCAAGGUGGAGUUAGCUUGUGGCGUCCUUGAUUGCUUUGCCGUCGAUGUAGGACCAGGUCGCCUACGUUUAGAUCUCUCUUGCGCAUGUGCUUGUCGUGGUAGCGUCGGACCUUCUGCUGGUACCUUGCUGAGUUGAGGAGGGCCAUGUCGCGAGCUUCCUCGAGCUGGUCGACCGUGUUUUCUCGAGUCUCUUUGUUUGUUUGCUCGUUGUAGGCUUUGAGUCGAGGUGACCCAAACUCGAGGUCUAUUGGGAGCAUGGCCUCAAAGCCGUAGACCAUGAAAAACGGGGUAUAUUUUGUGGCUCUACUUGGCAUUGUUCUUAAGCUCCAUAGGACCGAGGAGAGUUCCUCGACCCACUUCUUGCCGAACUUCUUCAACCGGUUGCAGAUUCUAGGUUUGUGCCCUUACAAGAUCAUGCCCUUGGCUCGUUCGACCUGGCCGUUAGUUCGAGGGUGAGCUACUGCGGACCAGUUCACACGGAUGUGAUGCCGGUCACAGAAGUCCAAGAACUUUUUGCCGGUGAACUGCAUGCCAUUGUCGGUGAUAAUGACAUUGGGUAUCCCGAACCGGUGGAUUAUGUGGGUGAAUAAAAGGACCGCCUAUUCGGAGAGGAUGUUUGUGAUGGGUCGAGCCUCGAUCCAUUCGGAGAACUUGUCGAUGGCUACCAGCAAAUGGGUGUAUCCACCCGCUGCCCUUUGGAGAGGACCCACGAGAUCGAGGCCCCAUACUGCGAAUGGCCAAGUGAUGGGGAUCAUCUGUAGAGCAUGAGCGGGGAGGUGGGUUUGCUUGGCGUAGAAUUGACACCCAUGGCACGAGCGAAUGAGCUCGAUGGCGUUCGCAAUGGCCGUUGGCCAGUAGAAACCUUGUCGAAAGGCAUUUCCCAUGAGGGUCCUCGGAGCCGCAUGGUGGCCGCAAGCCCCCGAGUGUAGGUCCUCAAGGAGCUUUCGACCUUCUUCUAUGGUGAUGCAGCAUUGUAGGAUCCCCAUUGGGCUUUGUCGGUAUAGUUCUUUGCUUUCGCCAUAGAUUACGUAUGAUUUGGCCCGUCGAGCGAUACGGUGGGCCUCAGCUUGGUCUUCUGGUAAUUCACACCGGAUCAGGCAAUCGAGGAAACGUGUGUGCCAGCCAAAUGGUCAACCGGGGAGUUGGGGAAUUUGCUCGACCUCCAUUGCUUCUGCCACCGUUAAUACGGCCUCGACUGUGUCGGUGGGCUCGGGAGCGGAAGUUUCGGUGCUAGCCAAUGUGCCUAGGUCGAUAGAUGGCUCGUGCAGGUCCCUUGAAAUUGCAUGUGGCAGGACAGUGCCUCGAUUGGACACAAUCUUGGCGAGCUCGUCGACCGCUUCAUUGUAUCGUCGCGUGAUGUGAAUGAGCUUGAGGCCAUGGAACAUGUCCUCGAGCUUGCGUACUUCCUUGCAGUAAGCUUCCAUCUUUAGGUCGUGGCAGCUCGAGGCUUUCAUGACCUGGUCGAUGACCAGCUGAGAGUUGCCUCGAACAUCGAGGCAUCCAACCCCUAGCUCGAUGGUGAUUUUUAGCCCGUUGAUGAGGGCUUCAUAUCCUGCAACGUUGCUAGACGCGACGAAGUGUAUUCUGAUGACAUACCACAUGUGGACGCCGAGAGGUGAGAUGAACAUAGGCCUUCCUCAGCUCCUGUCUUCAUGAGGGAUCCAUCGAAGUACAUCGUCCACAGUUCUGCUUGAACCUGAGCUGGGGGGAGUUGGGUGUCCGUCCAUUCUGCGACAAAAUCUGCCAGUGCUUGGGACUUGAUGGCUUUGCGAGGCGCAUAGGUGAGGGUCUCACCCAUGAGCUCGACUGAACACUUGGCGAUCCUCCCGGUGGCCUCUUGAUUCUAGAUGAUCUUGCCCAAGGGGAAGGACGAGACCACCAUGAUCGGGUCACCACGAAGAUAAUGUUGCAGCUUGCGUCGAGCGAUAAUUAUGGCAUAAAUAAAUUUUUGAACCUGGGGGUAUCGUACCUUUGUGUCCGAUAGCACUUCGCUGAUGAAGUAGACUGGCCGCUGAACUGGUAGUGUGUGACCUUCUUUUGGUCUCUCGACUACCAUGGCCACGCUAACGACCUGGGUCGUUGUUGCGACGUAUAGGAGCAGAGGUUCUGCGGGUCGAGGGGGCACUAGGAUCGUAGCGGUGGUCAGCGUCCUUUUCAGAUUGUCAAGGGCUUCCUCGGCCUCGAUAGACCAGGUGAAGCGUUUGGCUUUCUUGAGGAGCCUGUACAAUGGCAAUGCCUUUUCCCCUAGCCUUGAAGUGAAACGGCUUAGUGCUGCUAGGCAGCUCGUAACUUUCUGCACACCUUUAACGUCUCAAAUUGGCCCUAUCCUGGCAACGGCUGAGACCUUUUUGGGGUUAGCCUUGAUGCCACGUUGGGAGAUGAUGUAUCCUAGGAGCAUGCCUCGAGGGACGCCAAAGACGCAUUUCUCGCGAUUGAGCUUCAUUUUAUUCGCGCGUAAACAGCUAAAUGUGAUCUUGAGGUCCUAAAUUAGGUUGCCCUGUCUCUUUGACUUGACGAUGAUGUCGUCGACAUAUCCCUCGGCUGUCGACCCUAUGUGCUCCCCGAAUACAUGAAGCAUGCACCACUGGUACGUCGCCCCAGCAUUUCAAAGCCCAAAGGGCAUGGUCACGUAACAAUACAUCCCAAAAGGUGUGAUGAAAGAUAAUUUGAUCACAAUACAUACCGCGAGCUGGUCUGAGUCUUUCAUCUUUAUUUGAUGGUAGCCGGAAUAAGCAUCAAGGAACGAAAGGGUCUCACAUCCCGCGGUGGAAUCGAUAAUUUGAUCAAUGCGUGGUAAAGGAAAAGGAACUUUUAGACAUGCUUUAUUCAAACUGGUAUAAUUGACACACAUCCUCAUUUUUCCAUUCGUUUUCUUAACUAAUACAGGAUUUGCUAACCAGUCGGGACGAUGAACCUCCUUGAUGAAUCUGGCUGUCAAAAGCUUGUGGACUUCCUCGCCAAUGAUCUUACGCUUCUCCUCGUCGAGGCGGCAUAAGCGUUGCUUCACAGGCUUGGAACCAGCUCGAAUCUCCAAGGAGUGCUCGGCGACUUCCCUCAGUAUGCCAGGCAUGUUCGACGGACUCCAUGCAAACAUGUCGGCGUUUGCAUGGAGAAAGUCGACGACCACGACUUCCUAUUUGGGGUCGAGGUCGGCGCUGAUCGUCAGCACCUUGUAGUCAGAGCUGUUGGGGUCGAGCGGAAUUUUCUUCGUGCCCUCUGCUGGCUCGAAGCUGCUCGCAUGAUGCUUAGGCUAUGGAGCCUUAGCGGCGAGGGCCUCGAGCCUCGAAGUGAGUUCGACAGAGGUCUCAAAAGCUUCCCCAUACUCAACGCAUUCAACAUCACAUUCGUAUGCGUGCUCGUAAGAGGAGCUGACGGUGAUGACCCCCUUGGGCUCGGGCAUCUUCAGCUUCAGGUAAGUGUAGUUGGGGAUCGACAUGAACUUGGCGUAUCCCGGUCGUCUGAUGAUGGUGUGGUAAGUGCCUCGAAAACCCACCACUUCGAAGUUGGCUGCUGUGCCAAAAUAGAUUGGUAGGUCGAUUCGACCCACCGACAAUGGCUUCUUUCCUGGCACAACGCCAUGGAAACCACCCACGCUGGGUUGGAGCUACGCCCUCUCAAUGCCUAGAAGGUCGAGGGUCUCGAGGUAGAUGAUGUUGAGGAUACUACCGCCAUCCAUCAAUACCUUCGAGAGUCGGGUGUUGACGAUGAUGGGGUCGACAACGAGCGGGUAGACGCCUGGAGCGACCACCCUAUCGGGGUGGUCGUCACGAUCGAAGGUGAUGGGGGUGCUCGACCAGUUGAGGUACUGAGGCACUGCCAUCCUUGCCGCGAAGACCUCGCAGCGUUCCCUCUUAUGCUGUCUCGUGGUGAGCGGCGUCGAAGGUCUGCCAUAGAUCAUGUAAUAGUCGUGGAUGGCAGGGAACCCUUCAUCUUCUGUGUGUUCCCCCCUUGUCGUCGCUCUUGUCUUUCCUCUGGUCGUCCUUCUUCAGCCCCAGGCUGUCGAAGUACUUUUUCAACAUGCGGCAGUUCUCGAGCUUGUGACUGGCCCCUCCCUUGUGGUAAGGGCAGGGCUCUUGAGCAUUCUGUCAAAGACGGCCCCCUCUGAGGGCCUCGAGGCUUUUUACGCUCAACGAUGGUGAUGAAAUCAUCGUCGAGAGCCUCGCGUUUGAUCGGUCGUGAUUUCUUCUUCUUCUUGCUCUUCUUGGAUCCUCUACUAGGGCCCUCGUCAUUGUCUACUGGUGCUUUCCCCUUGCCGCCCUCAUGGUUGAAGAAAGCACCGACCGCCUCUACACCAGCGGCGUAGUUUACCACCACAUCCAUCAGCUCGUCGACGGUCUAUGGUCGGCUUCGACCUAACACUCACACCAAAUCCCUACAUGUGGUGCCUGGUACAAAGGCCAAAAUGAUGUCAUGUCGGGGAUGUGCGGGAGCUCGGUGUGCUGCGUCGAGAAGCGUCGAGUGUACUCUCGGAGGGAUUCUCCUGAUUUCUGCUUGCAUUUGCUGAGGUCCCAUGAAUUGCCGGGGCGUAUGUAGGUCCCCUUGAAGUUUCCUUCAAACACCCGGACCAAAUCAGCCCAGUCAUGGAUCUGGUUGGCGGGGAGUUCCUCGAGCCACAAGCGAGUGGUAUUGGAGAGGAAAAGUGGCAACAAGCGGAUGAUAGCUCGAUCGUCCCCUCGAGCACCUCCCAACUGGCAUGCCAGCCGGAAGUCCACCAGCCACAAUUCUGGCUUGGUUUCGCUAUUGUACUUGGCAAUGCUGGUUGGGGGUCGAAACGGGCUUGGGAGCGGCGUGCUGUGGAUUGCCCUGCUGAAGACUCGAGGGCCUGGCAGUUCUAGCAUCAUUCGGUCUUCGUCGCUAUCAUAACACCCACCGCAGUGAGCGUUGUAGCCGUGUUCCUCCGCAUCCCCAUGUCUGCGGCGGCGAUGCUCGUUGAUGUCACGUCGAGCGUCGUGCUGCCCUCGAUUGUCGAUGAGGCGCUCCUGGGCAGGUAUUGCUUUCCUACCUUGAGGGGGCGGUUCUUGAUGCACCGACGCCUCCCUCUCGUUCAGGGCUAGCUCGACACAUUUUUCUGUGGCUGCCCCUCAACGUCGAGAGGCUAAGCUCUUGGCUUGUUGUGCUGCCGCCACGUGGAGCAGACUCUGUACCUCAUCUCGAAUGCACCGUGCCUAGGAGUUUGAAGGCUCAGGCAUGUUAUGUAGCAGCAUGGUCGCUGCCACGAUGUUCUGGCCCGCCCGAGGGAAGCGACUGACGGGUGGCUCUGGCUCCUCAUCCCCGAUGAUCUGCUGAUACACUUCUCGAGCACGACCACGCGCGCCCCCGCCGUGCGGAUGUGGUUGGUCUCGCUUGAGAGCCCGCUCAAGUUGAGUGAGGCGCUCGUGAUCCUCAUCAAGCUUGGCCUUAAGUUCUCACAGUUGCGCAAGUUGCGUAGCUUUGUCAUCUUGGGGUGGGAGGUUGACUUGUCCGUCAUUCCCAGGUGUCCUGGGAUCUUCCCUUGCUAUGGGUGCUCGACCACCGGUGGCGGUGUCUUGUGCGUCGUCCAUGGUAGCCACGUCCUCGUCGAUGUUGAAGCACUCCCUCGUGGGGUCGUAACUGUCAGAUUCGGAGUCGGGAUCUGGCUCGGCGGUGUAGAAACAUCCAUGCCCCUCCUCCACCAACUGCUGCCUGAGCGAGGUGAUGGUGUACCGCCCGGGUCCUAGGCAUCAAAGCCCACGCACCCAGAAAAAAUCGGACUGCUCAACCAUUUGCUGAGCUUGUUGCCAUGUCCCGGCGUCAUACGGGAGGACCAGUGGUCGCUCCAUGUAUGUCCUGACGCUCGAGCAUAUUGCCCUGGUGAACGACGUUGUGGCGCUGUCUAAGCCAAACAGGUAUGUCCGCCUAGCAGCAAACAGACUGUGUGGUAGCAGCGCGGACGGAGGUGAGUGUGCGCGAGGCACGCUACCGCCCGACGCUGUCACGUGGCUGUCCUGACGUUGGGUUGUCGUACCCGUGGCCUUGGCGCGUGGGGCCGUUGGCUCCUGCUCCGUUGCCCGCCUCGCACGAGGUGGUGAUCGCACAACGGUGGUGGGGCGGUGGCGAUGCUGCCCAUGCCUCCUCUUAGGCGGGGAAGCAUGGCGGCGAGGCCAUCUUGGAGCCUUUGAUCAUGUGGGCAUGAUACGAGCCCCUCCAGGUCCUUUGAUCGAGAGCAGUGUCAUGUCGUAGCCGAAGCCAAUGGACAUGAACUCGAAGCUCCCAAACCAAAUCACCGUGGAGCGUGGGAUCGGCGAGACGAGAGUGGUCAUCUAGAAGAAUAUGGGAAAUCGGUGGUAACACGCAGGACCACUACCUGGCGCGCCAACAGUCGGUGUUUUACCCCCAGGGGGUAACACCAACGAGUGAAUUUAUGUGUGUGCUCCCUCUUUAGGAUGGUGAUGCAAGAAUGACACAGGGAUUUAUUCUAGUUCGGGCAAGAGAAGGCCCUACGUCUAGGGAGGGAAGGGAUUUUGUAUUAUCUUGCUCCUAAGUGCUUGUAUAGGGGUGAAUACAGACUUAUGUAGCCAAGGGUUCUAAGUUCUGGCCGAUGGUGGUGUGUGGAUCGUAUUUUAUGGGUCGUGUGUCUUGAAUCUCGCCCUCGGUGUCCCCUAUAGUUCCAAGGGGAGACCUAGGUUACAGGGUGUAGGCAUUAGAAUAAGCCUCGAUAGGGGUAUGGUGCACUGACUCACUCGAGGCCUCCGUACUGGCGUGGACUCGAGUCGUCUUGUUACAAAGUACUUUGAUGAUGAUGGCGCGUGCGCUUCUGGAUUCAGCCCCUGUACAUCAUCUUAGAUUGGCUCAGGCAUAAGCAUGCUUGUACGUCGCGGCAGUAGUCACGUCUGGGGUUGUUGAAGCGCUGACUUUCAUCGCCUGAUCCUUCCCUGAGAAGGGAUGUGCUUGCUCGAGGGUUGGGCGUAUGAGCAGCUUUGCUGUGUGGGAACGCUGACUUUGGGUGCCUCGAGAGAUACCGUGAUGGGAUAUCACGUCUGCUAUACUGUGUCGAGUUGUACUUUUGUCCAUUUUAAUGGGUGCUUGUUCCCUAUCACAUUUCCCGUGACUGUCGGGUUAGGUGGGAGCAUGGAAGACGCAUUAAAUGCCCUGGCUUCCGUACUUGCGACAGGCGGCGGGAGGCGCUUUUGCGCUCGAGACCCAUCGAUUCGCUUGAGGCACUUUCCGUACUCGACAGUCGUAGUUCGUCGAGCCUUUGUUCAUUCGCAGGACCUUGCUCCCGUGUCCGAGGCCGCGGUCGACAUCGAGCUCUGGCGAUUACAGGUUUAGGUCAGAAGGUCGAGUUAGAGUCUCGAUUUGCUCACAGACCCCCCCAUUAUGGAUGUUGGUUGGGAUACCCCCUAUUGGUAUCCUCGACAUUUCUCGAUAGAUGAAAUCUACAAAAAAAAUGAGGGAUUGAAGAGGGCAGGCAUCUCCAGGUGCAGAUCAAGAUUGAGAAUAUGAUGGCUUCCUAUUGAGGAUAGGGCUCAUGAAGAUUUGGUCAUCUGGGUGCCUACGGCAAGUAAUCCGCCUAUUGCACGGCCGUUGCUGGCCUCAUCGCCACAUAGAGCGGAGCUGCAGACCGAAAACCUAGUCGACGGCACACUGAGGGUGAGUCACGUAGGGCCUGGUGUCGGGGAUGGAGAGCCGGUGGUGUUGGGCGGCCGGGUGAUGGGGUAGAUGUCGGGGCACGGGCUAAUGGUGGGGGUGGCCGGCCAGCCAGCAGUUGGGCUCUGUCGAGGCACGCGACGGUGCGUGUAGGUGCCAUGUAGAUUGCAGACGGGCACUGUGGGACUGGACCAGAGAAGUGACGUGUGUAUUGGGAAAAAAGAGGCCUCAAGUGGUGACUUAGGGUUGCAUCUCAGUAUUGGGCCCAAAUUAAUUGGCAGAAACUGGCCCAAAACAUUCCGCCAAUUGAUAUCUAUAUUUAGCAACGGAUGAUCUGUCUCAAUUAGUGCAAAAUAGCAACGGAUAAUCCAAUGCAAAAGUAAAAUAUCUAUAGCAAUGGACCAUCCAUUGAAGUAUUGAAUUUUAGCAAGGGAGGAUCUGAGGGGCACCUUUAGCAACAGACCGUUCAACGAUAAUUUUUACCUUUAGCAACAGAUGUCUCAAGCUAUUUUAGUGUUGUGGUGUAGUGAGUUGUCACCAAAUAGUAGGUACAUAUAAAAUCGUGCCAUACUGAAUUUACUGACGAGAAUAAAUCCACACAAUAAAUAAAGGAACAAUAAUUCAUCAUCCAUACACAACAUCACUAAUAAGAUUACUUAGCACAUUGUCAAAGGCAUGUUCGCGUACAUCCAAAACUUCCAGCAUACAUACACUAGACUUUUCAAAUGUCAACAUCACCCAACCACAUCAAGUACCACACACGACCAAGUCUCGACCUAGAUUUGGGUUACAUGCCAUGCAGAGAUAACAACAGCAAAAGAGAGGACUAGCAACUAGAACACUAUCAUCUACUCGCUGUGAUCGCCAUCCAUGCCUGAACCUUCACCUUCCUCAUCUUCGCUUGCUGCAACCUCCAUCUCUAGAUUCUCAUCUUCUUCUUCCUCACAGUCUACCUUAGCUGCACCAGGAGGAUGGUAUGGGUGGAGCUGAUUAUGCAACUAAUGAAUCUCCUCAUGCAAGUUCUCAUUGUACUCCUCAGUGUUAGCCAACUGCUGCUCAAGCUCUAACUGUUGGGCCCUAAGAGUAUCUUCCUCAUUCUAGGCUUCAUUCUUUUGUCUAGGCACAUGGAUCAGCAUACGCUCACUAUCCCUAUUGGCUGCCGCCAACCUAUUGUUGGCAUUUCUUAGCUUCACUACUAAAAAUAGACCAUAGAUCCAUCCUUAGCAAUGGCACCAGAAAUGUCAGGUGUUGGCAUACCGUAACUAUUGCUACAUCAGAGAGAUAACCCAAGCAACUCGAGGGUGCCGGCCUUAGCAGUGCAGUCUAGUUACAAUAAUUUGGAAUGCCGGAGUGGCCUUCCUAACCAACCUUACUUGCGAUAUGCAAAGCUAUGGCACUACGCUUGAAAGUGCAUAAGGAUUACAAUCUUAAGUAACGGUACUUAGGCACGUCAAUCGAUAGUUCAUGAAUGAAGAUUGAAUAUUAUUCAUACCAAGAAGAUCCUUUCUUCCAAGGAGACAAGCUCUACUUGUUAGCUAUUGCCUUGCUCUACUACUAAUCUAGACUAAAGAUACAAGUGAGAGGUGUGAGGUAAAUUGACUCCAAAUGAUGUGUGUGUUGAAAAGGGGGGAGUGCCUCUCUUUUUAUAGUGGAACUAGGACGGUUCAUCGUAUCUAAAUUUGGUAGUUGGUGAAACCGUCCUAUGCAGGGCGGCAUGCAACCGCCUGAGAAAGAUGGGCCCGGUUUGCCGCCUCUAGCGGUGUUCCCGCACCAGUGUUGGUCCCCCUAGCCACCACCUUCACGUGGUUGUUGACACCGUUUUUGGACACGUAUCUUUGGACGCGUAUCUGGAGUUAAUGAGGAGUGGAUCGGCAGGUAGAAAAGUGGUGACUAGUUGAUAGAAGAGUUGCCGAUGGGGGUUGGUGCCAAUGAGAAAACGUCAGAAUGUGGCCAAGUCCAGGAGUGGUGAUGGAUCUAUGCCGAUGACUGGUGCUGAUGGUUGCCGAUGGCUACGAGAGGUGGUUCGCCGAUGGUCACAAGGGAAGGCGCAGGAAUUAUCGGUCAGGUCAUGGUGGUGUACCGAUCGGUUGUGGAAGAUAACUUAAUGUUUCCAUAGUUAUUAGAGUUUGUUUUGUAUACGGAUUCCGUUCAAUUUGGAAUUCGAGUCCUAGUCGUGUCUGAUUGUAACCCUAUUGGGCCGGCUAUAAAUAUGAGACCCCGUAGCGAUGUAAGAACAUACACAAUCAAUCAAACACAAGUUUUUACAUCUAUUCCAGCAUCUACUUUUUCGACGACUUCGUCAACCUGCAUAUUUUUCCUUUUACUACGAGUUCUUUGGAAUUCUUCAAGUCAACCUCGGUGAAUUCUCGAGUUCUGUGUGAAUACUUCUUGGCCUUGACAUCAGGGCGCAUCGUUGUUGUCGGGACCAAAGUAUUCGAGUUACCACCUUUGUUGAUUGUAAGGUCAAAUCGGCUGGCACGCCUUAACGUUGGAUCGGGUAUUAGCCCUUUGUGUUUGUAGAUCUACUUUUGCAUUAACACAUCUUUUGCCACGCCUAGUGGGACAGAGAUUCAACAUCAAGAUCAACAUGUCGAACACCAAUUUCGACUUGGAGAACGUCAUCCCCGUGACGGAAGCCAAUCUUAGAGAUGAACAGAUGCAAGCUAUGGCAAAAGCUAUAGAGGACUACAAGAAACUAUGCCUGAAAUCCUCUAGUAUCAAUAGGAGUGGCGAGGUGAUCCAAAAGGAAGCAUUGCCGAUGCCUCGGCAAAUCACUUUUAAAGCUAAUCCUGGUAAACUAAAAGAGAUGGUUGAUAGUGCUAUCAAUCGUGCUCUAAUCAAUCAGUCUAGUGUGCUGUCCAAUACAGUUUUCAAUGCUGUGGCUAGAACUUUCAAAGAAGGACAAAUACCACCAUCUUAUGUGGGCCCUGCCUAUCAUCAGCCAGGAUCAUCAUCGGUUACAGCUCCAUCGGCUACUACGGCCAUUGCGGGUAUGGAGGUUACUUCUCCUCCAAGCACAUUGGGGAUGACUAAUGCGCAAUCUACACCGAUGAUGACUAAUCCAUCAAUAUCAAAGGGACAAGUCAAACUUGCUACAGAUUUAUUGGCAUCAGCAAUGUUCAGGUCUGUUCCUCCGAAUUGGUGGGGAUAUGGAAUGCCCCUAGAAUUUAUGGCAAAAAGUUCUAGGAUGUCUCAAGUGGCUGACACGACAGGCAAGGCUCCUAUGGCAUCGGCACCCACACGAUCACCGAUGAAUCAGAAUCCUCACUAUUCCACAACUACCACUGCAAGACCCUUUACUGGAAAUUCUCAAAUACCAAUGUUCCAGAUGCCUAAUGCAUCGGCAGAUCCCAUGCCGACGCAGCAAAGGUUUAUGACACAGCCAGGGUAUGCCAAUUCAAUGAUGAUGCCCAAUUAUCAGCCAUCGGCAGGGCCUACGCCGAUGCAUGUUAACAAUGGAUGGACAGGGCAGUUUGUCUUUCCAUAGACACCUCAGCAGAAUCAUCAGGCUAUGGGAUUUUUGCAGGGACCAAUGCAACCUGGAUUUCAGAAUCAAGGGUUGAUCAACCAGCCGAUGAAUCUUUGUCAGCAAGUUGGUGGCCAACAGGUGGUGGCUAAUCCUAUGUUCCCUGGAGAUCAUGCACCGCAGAGACACGUGGAAGCUUAUCAGCAAAUGCCAGAUCCACAACCAGCUUAUCGGCAGGAUGCCGAUGCUUACUGGGCUGAUAAGAUAGCUUAGGUGAUGAGAGACCAAUUUGGAAUAAAACCCAAAGUCAACACUUACUCUUAUCGGACACCGUAUGCUCCUGCAUAUGACUUAAUUCCGCUUCCAAAUCGGUACAAGGUGCCAGAUUUCACCAAGUUUUCUGGACAGGAUGAUACAAUGCCAUGGAGCAUGUUAACAGGUUCAUCUUCCAGUGUGGGGAAGCUGCUAAUAGAGAUGAGCUAAGGGUUCGUUUAUUCUCGUCAUCUUUAUCUGGAUCAGCCUUUACCUGGUUUAUUUCAUUACCUCCAAACUCAGUAAUCACCUGGGCCGAUCUAGAAAAGCAAUUCUACAAAUAUUUCUUUUCUGGAGUCCAUGAGAAGAAGAUUACCAAUUUAGUCAGGCUGAGGCAACGCAAUGAUGAAUCAGUUGAAAGCUUUGUGCAAAGGUUGCGAGAUGUUAAGAAUAAAUGUUACAGUUUGGUUUUGGAUGAUCAGCAGCUCGCUGAUUUGUCUUUCCAAGGAUUAUUGCCACACAUAGUAUGCUUCUCAAGAGUUUGAAAGUCUAAGCCAUUUAGUGCAGAUGAUUUCUGAUCAAGAUAUCAAAGCUUUUGAACCCAAGAGGGCAUGGAACAAAAAGGUAUCAUUUGUCGACGAGGCAACAAGCUCAGAUUCUAAUGAAGAGCCAGUCAUCGGCUUGGCAGAAGGGGUGAAAAAUAAGAAGCCGAUGUUAUGCCCUUUCGGGCAUAAGGAGCCAGAAAAGUUUGCAUUUGAUAUCAACAAAGCCGGUAGAAUUAUUGACUUUCUGCUUCAGGAGGGGCAGAUUAAGUUGUCACCUAACCAUGUGAUUCCAUCGGCAGAAGAAUUAAAGAAGACUAAGUAUUGCAAGUGGCAUAAUGCAACAUCUCAUACUACGAAUGAGUGCAAGGUUUUCACACAACAACUACAAUCAGCUACAGAGUCUGGGAGAAUUAAGUUUGAUAGCUCCAAAGCUCAAAAGCUGAUGAAGAUUGACCAACAUCCUUUCCUCACAAAUAUGUUAGAUGCUAAGGGAAAGACCAAAGUAUUAACUUCAAAGGCAGCUGAAAAAAGCGCAUCGGUGGAUCCCCAGCACCAGAUUACUGCCGAUGAUGCCAAAGGCAAGGGUUUGAUCUAGGAAGGAACCAGCUCAGAAAGGCCUCCUCGAUCUGGUAUUGUGAUCACUCAUAGAAGGCAUUGGGAAACCUAGCAACAACGUGAAGAUCGGUAUCAGCGCCAACAGGAGGAUCGUCGUCGGGAAGAAGAAAGAUGCCGACAAGAGUGGAAUCGACAUAAAGAUCACUGGAACUGCCCGUUCUUCAUCCACUGUUGGGAGCAAAACAUCAAGUUACCAACUGUUAGAGAAUUCCCUAAGUGCAAUGGCUAUAAUCGGUAUGAUAGGCCGAAUCGACAGUAUCAGAACGAUGAUCGACGUUUUGAUGGGCCGAUUAGAGGAAGGGCCUCAGUUCAUGAUCGGCUAGGGGGCAGACUCAGUGAGCGUGUUGGAUAUUUUCCUAGAAACCAAGAGAAGCUUGAGGAGAUGGCGGAUGCGCGAGUUCUCGAUGAGUUCAUAUUUUGCAGAGAUGCUAAUACUUAUCGGGUGGAAUCAAGGGAAAAUCGUCGCCAAGCAGUGAGACAGCCGCAACUUCCACCAUGGUGUCCAGAGGGGUUAACUAGGACACAAAAAAGAAGGCUGCAGCGGGAGCGACGAGAAGAGCUGAGUAGAGAAGAGAAUCCCGCCAAGUCUGGAGAUCGACAGCAGUAGGAUCCUAAAGGAAAAAGUCCAUCGGCAGAUGUUAAUAUGGUGUUUAUGUUGCCAAUGGAGUUGCUUGUGCCCUUCAGUGAUGAUGAGGAGGCGGAUUUUCCCGAUCAUAUAGCUCAGUUGGCUCUGGAUCCGAUGACGGCUAUCUUUGAAAAGCCCGCUAAUAAUGAGAGACAACAUCUUAAAGCUCUGUUUGUCAAAGGUAGGGUUGAUGGGCAGCCGAUGACCAAGAUACUUGUUGAUGGUGGGGCUGCUAUCAAUAUUAUGCCAUAUGCAGUCUAUCGGAAGUUUGGGAGAGGAGAUCAAGAUUUGACCAGGACUGAUAUGAUGCUAAAGGAUUUUGAUGGGAAUGUAUCUCCAGUCAAAGGAGCCAUAUGUGUUGAGUUAACCAUCGGCAGCAAAACCAUGCCGACAACUUUCUUUGUCAUCAGUGGAAAGGGUGCUUAUAAUUUGUUAUUGGGGAGAGAUUGGAUUCAUGCCAAUUGUUUUAUCCCAUCUACAAAGCACCAGUGCUUGGUUCAGUGGGUAGGUGACAAAGAGCAACAGUUUGUAUGAUUCUUGCUUUUAGUCCUUUACUUAAGUUGAAAGCCGAUCAAGAGUUUGUAUGGGAAAAGAGCAACAUUUAGCCUUAGACAAAAUAAUAAAUUACUUGACAAAUCCUCUAGUUCUGAUUCCACCUCAGCAAGGAAAACCUUUCAAAUUGUAUUUGUCUACCGAUGGGAUGGUCAUCGGUUCGGCUCUAAUUCAAGAAUUUGAAGGGAAGGAAUGUGUGAUUUAUUAUUUAAGUAGAAGACUGGUUGAUGCUGAGACAAGGUAUUCGGCAAUUGAAAAAUUAUGUUUAUGCUUAUAUUUUUCAUGCAUCAAGUUGAGGCACUAUUUGCUAUCGGCCGAAUGCACUGUUAUAUGCAAAGAUGAUGUAGUGUGGUACAUGCUAUCUAUGCUGAUUAUGAGCGAUAGAAUUGGCAAAGGGAUUUUGGCAUUGUCGGAGUUUGAUCUGCAUUAUGAAUCGGCUAAGGCAGUUAAGGGGCAGAUUAUGGCCGAUUUUGUGACUCAGCAUAGCGGUGUAGUAGGGACCUUGGAGAUCGUUCCUUGGAUGCUCUUCUUUGAUGGAUCUACAUGUGACCGGGGGGCAGGAAUCAGUAUAGUACUAAUUUCCCCUCGAGGAAAGAAGUAUGAGUUCUCUUUGCUGAUUGUUGCCACAUCAACAAAUAAUCAAGCUGAAUAUCAAGCUCUGAUCAAAGGGUUGGAAUUGUUAAAGGAGAUUCAUGCCGAUGCUAUUGAGAUCUUCGGCGAUUCUAUGCUUGUUAUAAAUCAAUUGGCUGGAAUUUAUGAAUGCCGAAGCGGAGUUUUGAUAACAUAUUAUGAAAAGAGCAUACAACUGUUAACGGAAUUCAAGGAUUUCUGAUUGGAGCAUGUUCCUCGAUUACAUAAUGAAGAGGCUAAUCGGUUGACUUGGCAUGCCUCAGGAUAUCAACCUAUUUUAAAUGUGUUAUUGGCAAUCAGUGCCGAUGAUUGGAGAAAAUAAAUAAUUGAUUACUUAAAAGAUCCAUCUAAAAAGGUUGAGAGGCGUGUCAGGUUUCAAGCUACUAAAUAUGUACUCCUUGGUUAAGUGUUAUAUUAUCGAACGAUAGAUGGAGUUCUACUCAAGUGCUUGGGUAAUGAUGAGGCUAGAAGCUUGAUGGGUGAGAUCCAUGAAGGAGUAUGUGGAGCACAUCAGUCGGAUUUUAAGAUGAAGUGGAUGAUUAGGAGAAACGGGUAUUAUUGGAUGACUAUACUUGAGGAAUGCUUUAAAUAUUUCAAAGGAUGUCAAGGAUGCCAAAGGUUUGGUAAUAUUCAAAGGGCACCCGCAUCGGCCAGGGAUGGGCUAUUGAUCUAAUUGGCCAGAUUUAUCCGCCAUCAAGCAAGGGGCAUAAGUUCAUCUUAGUUGCCACUGAUUAUUUUAAUAAGUGGGUCGAAGCCAUUCCUUUAAGAGAGUAACAUCGGCUAAUAUGGUUGAUUUUGUGAAAGAGCACAUUGUUUACCGAUUUGGUAUUCCUCAAACAAUUACUACCGAUCAGGGUACUAUGUUUACAUCGGGGGAGUUUGAUGAAUUUGCAAUCGGUAUGGGGAUUAAAGUGUUGAAUUCUUCUCCUUAUUAUUCUCAAGCCAAUGGACAAGCCGAAGCAUCUAACAAAGGGAUUAUAAAGCUCAUCAAGCGAAAGAUUGACGAAAAUCCUAGAAGGUGACAUACUUUGUUGAAUGAAGCUUUGUGGUCAUAUCGGAUGGCGUGUCAUGGAUCGACCAAAGUUUCACCAUAUCAGUUGGUAUAUGGACACGAUGCGGUGUUGCCAUGGGAAAUUAAGACUGGAUCUAGGCGGGUCUCUUUUCAAGAUCAAUUGGCUGCCGAUGACUAUGCUACUUUGAUGAAAGAUGAGUUGGAGGAUUUGGCAGAGCAUCGGUUGAGAGCUUUGAUAAGUAUAGAAGAAAAUAAAAAGAGAGUUGCUAGAUGGUAUGAUAAAAAGGUAAAAGCUAAAGAGUUUGCUGACGAAGAUUUGGUAUGGAAAUUAAUUUUACCGAUUGGUACUAAAAGUUCAAAGUUUGGAAAAUGGUCUCCUAAUUGGGAAGGUCCUUAUCGGAUAAAUCGUCUGGUCCUGGUAAUGCUUAUAUUUUAGAAACUCUCGAAGGAGUUGAGUUUCCCAGAGCAUUGAAUGGAAAAUAUCUAAAGAAGUACUACCCAAGCAUCUAGGUUGAUGCAUCAAAAAGUUUUCUAAGAGCAGAACGAAAUAGGUUGUGAAGAGUUCAUACAUUUAGCAAGCCUUGGAUGGCCGAUAUGGCGCGCAGGUGGAUUUGGUCGGCUUCUUCUAUCUCCCGGAUGUCGUCAUCGGCAGAACCCUCUACUGGCUUCAGGUGCUUUUUCAUUGGUAGUGCCUCACGAGCCUAGAUCUUUCGUUCUUGCUGAAGAGUCUUGAUCAUCUCAGGCAGUUGGCUUUCUUCUUGUUGAGCUUGAGACAGGGCUUCUUCCACUUGUUUGAGCUCGGCUAGCAGGGUUUCCCUUCUUGCUGAUAGGUCGGAAAUCUUUUGCUUCAGUGUCUCCCCUGAGGACUGCAGAAUGCUGAUGCUCUUAUGUUUCUCAUCAGCAAGACGCUUUACUUGCAUUACUUCCUCUGUGAGUUAGGCAUGAGCGGUUCUAUCGGCAAGACGCUGGGUAGCUUUUUGGUAUUGGAGCUGGCGACUUUCCAAGUAUGCAGCUUGUAACAAGGCUUCUUUUGCAUCGGCUGGGAUCUGGCCUUGAAGGGUCUUAAACAGAGCUUUAGUUAGAUCGGAGUCAUCGACCAUACUAGGCAGUAUCUUGGUGCAGUAGGGCCAACAAGUCUUCUAGCUUGGCUUUUAUUUCUGCCGAUGAAAUUCCUACUGCUUGGAGGAGCUUGCUUCUUUACCUUCAUCAUCAGAAAUAUCGAUGGCAAAGGAGAAUAAGCUGUCUAGGGAGUCCUGUUCCUAAAAAGAUGAUAAAAAUAAGUUAUUUGAUGGUCAGAUGUUAGUGAUAUAAAAGGUGGAAAUCAGAUAACUUACUUGCUUCAAAGCUAUUUCACGCCUCUGGCUGGUCAAUGAUGUUGGUACUACAGGUUGAUCGGCUAGAGUUGCCGAUGGGAUGAUGUCAGUAGAAAAAUUACAAGAAUAAUUAUAAUUUGUAAAGAUGUAUCCAUCAGUGAUAAUUUUGUGAUCAGUACGUUACCUUGAGGAGGUGCAGUGCUUGUUUGUUCUGGAGGAACAACCGAUGAUAUGAUCAGAUCCGCUGGAUCGGCAGUGUGCUCAAGCACAUCGGCUGGUGCUUCUUAUGGCUGAGGUGCUGGUUGAGGAGGAGACGGUGCUUGUUGUGUCUGGAUUUCUGGUGAAGAUGGGGACGAUUCCACGCGAAUUGGUGAUACUAGACGAGGAGGAGAAGAUGGUGCCUUCCUCUGACGCUUUGGUUGCGACUUGGCGCCGUCCUCUUGGCUUGGCUAGGCUGGGGGGCAUCGGCACUUGUUUGGGCACUUCUGGUCUUUGCCGAUUUGCCAGUUUGCUGUUGAAAUAACCAAAGAUAUUAUCAGAAGAGACACAAAAGGAUAUUGAUGAAAUUUUGUUAAUCAAUAAAGUUACCGAUGAGGUCCCAGUAGCAGUUGAUGUGCCCUAAAAAGAUUAUGUAAGUAAUGGAUGAAAUCGGUAGAAGCCAAGAAAAUUAAGAGUUUACCUUAAAAGCCUGUGCCAGAGUAGCAGCGUCAACCGAUGGGGAAGUUUUUGACCGCCUGGUGGUCGUCUUCUUGAAGCGCACAUUCUGAUGCGCUAGGGCUGCUAGACUCGGCGCGUUAUGACCGAUCAGAGAGAUUGGGCCCGAUGGAAGGAGUUCGAUCGAUUUUCCACUCCUGCUGACUGACGGUGGUGAGUUGUCGACCUGUUCAAAAAAGGAGGGGGUGAGUUACCGAUAAGGGUAAAAGCAACAAAAGAACUGAGGUAUCGGUUGAAGACUUACAGUGUUAUCGGGGAUCUUAUAGUUGCGGUCGACCAUACCGUGGUAUUUCAAAGCCGAUGUGCAGAACAAGUGUUCUUUCCACUCUUCCCACCACUGCUUGUACAUCUGAGUGAUGAAAAAGGCUGGGAUCCAUGCCGAUAAAUCAAUGUCUGACAUAUCGGCAUUCGGCUGAAGCUGAGCUAUUCUUAUCCACUCAAGUCCGCUGGUUAUAAUCUCCUUGGCUUCACUACAUCGGCAUAGCAGAGUCCAAUCGACAGCUGCCCAAAAGCCAGUUGACGAGCCAGUGCCGAUGGGUUAUAAAAUUCAUAAGUGGGGAUGGAAUUCUUCCCACUGCCAAAGGUAUUCACUGGUAUGGCCCUCACAGUGUUAAUUGCCAUCAUUAGGUCAUGGUCCUUGUUGAGAGCAUCAUCAAAAGGGUGAAAAAUGAGUGGGAAUCUGGUUUCUAGAUCUUCAUAAGGCAUCCAUGCCCGCUGAUCUUUGGAAAGGCCCUCUGUUGGGUAUUUUAAACGCAAACAGAAAAAAUCCGCAAGCGCAUGGAUACCGAUGUAGCUUUCACCCGGGAGUAUUCCAGAGUAUCGAUUUUCCACAGAGAACGUGAGUGUACUAAUUAAGAUUCAAGAUCGCCCAAGGAUAACUAUAUAAUUAUUUUUGGUGGGAAGAGAGGAAGUUUCCUGAGAGUUCUCUAGUUGAUCUAAGAAUCAAGAAUUACUUAAAGAUUAUCUAUAUCGGGACAUCAGAGCACUAACCACAGAAAGAGAUGAGAAGGGGGCUAGGAAGGUCUGACUACGGUCCUACAAACACCGAUCCGAACGUGGUGGAAUACGUCGACCGUUAGGGCUGUCACUACCCUAAGGCUACCACAGCAAUCCGCAGGAUUGGGUGCAAUUCCAGGUAAUUGCAAGACUAAACACCACGUCUAAUUUAUUAAUUAGUACUCUAGCGUUAUAAAGACUAGAGCACUUGAUGCAAGCGGGAAUCCAAUAAAUAACUUGAAUGUAAAUAAAAGUAAUUAAAGAACUCAGGAAUUAUGAAUUGAAGAACUUGGAGAACGAUGAAGAACGAACGAGAUGUUGCAAAAGUAUAAUGUUGAGGAAGAUCCGAUAGAUCCGGCUCCUCCUCCGCUCUCCUCUUCUCUCUCCCUAUUUUCUAGAUUACAACUAGAACUAACUAGAACUAGAUGAACUAGAACUAGAUCUAGAUGAACUAGAGGUAGAACUAGAAGAACUAGAGGGAUCCUCUCUACUUGGAUGAAGAAUUGAAACCCUAACUUUGAUUCUGUAGAAGAGGUAUGAUCUCCAGGGGCCAGGGGUGUCUGGUUUUAUAGUCUCUUCAAGUGAAUCUGGGCCGUCGGAUCAAACCGACAUUGAUUGAACGGUUAUUGUUGAUCCUUUAGGUCGGUGGAGCAAUAUCCCGAAAGAGAGUCCUGAUUGGACUCUGGCUGAGGGCGGGCGCCCAAGAAAGGAGGGCGGGCGCCCUGUCCCUGUGUCCUCUCGGCCUCCGCUUCGGUCCCGUGGCUUCUGGAGUCUUCUAGAUGAUAGAAAAUUGCGCGGCACAUUAAUAUCUCUAUGUAAACCCGACGUGUGGGCCUUUCUUCCGUAUUUCCUGAUAACCCCCUGCAGAAAUACACAAACACCAAAACUCGUGGAAUUCUAUCAGAUAAAACCCUAAGUCUAGGUGUUGGUUGCAUAUAAGUCCUUUUCUAUGAUUAAUUGAUGGUUAAAUAUGAGCAUUAAGGACCAUCAACAAGCUCCCCCAAGCUUAACCUUUACUCGUCCCUGAGCAAAGCUAAAAUCAUCAAGAAAAUAGGGGUUACUUUUAUGCCUUUUACUAAAGGGGUUUUAAGUUAUCACUAAGGUCUUAAGUGAUUGAAAAACAGAAUGAUCAAGUCAAGCACUAUGUCUCAAGUUCUUCUGUCUUACCUUUGUUCUGGAGUUGUUUGUAAGUUUCCAAAAUAAAUCUGAGGCAUUUGCCUUCUUCUCGAAAGAUAUAUAAGUAGAGCUUUAAAAAUUUUAGCAUACUUACUUUGCAUUUUGCUAUGUCAAUGCUCGGAGCAAGGGAGAGGAAUGUCAUACUCCUAGAUCAAGACCUUUGACCUUUUUGAAGAGUUUGUCAUCUCUUACUGGCAUAUUGCUUAUUAGAGGGACCAUGGGCUAUCAUUUUUUUCCUUUUUUUUUUCUUUUUUUUAGUCUUUUUUUUCAAGUGGGCAGCAAGUACCCCUAAUUCUACUGUCGGACACAUGUCCAUUUUUUUCCACUCAGGUGGGUAUCUUUGUACCCCUAAUUCUACUUCGGACACUUGUCCAUUUUUACCUCUCAUCUCACUCUUUUUUUUUCGAAUCAAAUUUUUGCAUAGUCCCAUGCCUCUAACGCAAUAAUACUUCGGAAGAGUGAAUCUUUUAUAUUUUUUAAAAAAAAAGAUCUUGAUCUUGGGAGCAUGAUAAUUCUCUCAACCAAAACUACAAGAAUUAACAAUGGCUUGAACAAAGAAAGUAUCCACAGUUUUAAUAUUUAUUUCUUAUAAGAAUCUAGGUAUUAUGAUCUCAUAUAUUUUUUAUGAAUUUUUAGAUUUUCAAAAGAUAAAAUCUCCAGAACUCUAGCAAAACUUGGAACAAGUUAAAUAGUAGCUCAGACCUUCUCAUAUCAUGUUUGUCAAUUACCUAGACUUGAAUCAAACUUUCUUUUUAUUUUAUUUAAAACUUAGUAUUACAUAAAACUAUUAUAUAUUACUCAAAACAAAAACUGUGUUUGGUUUCAUGGUUAUGCAUUUUUUUUAUUUCCGAAUACUAGUAAAUAAAACUAAGAAAGAAAAAUAAUACUUAUCUUGAUUUAUUUUUUUUAUUUAGCAAACUAAGCAAAGAUAUAUAUAAGCAUAAAAUCUUUAUUUGGGUUUUUAUGAUUAUGCAUCUUUUUAUUAUUUGAGUAAAGUAUAAACGUGAGUAGAACACUUAGUUGGAUAAAUGGGGGUGCUCUCCCCCAAGCUGGAUUUUGACAUAAUUUCUUCUGAUGUAGCUAGCAGGUGGCGGAGGUGUAUUUGAAUGUCGGCAGCACUCUGACAGCGAUUAGGAUGUCCUUCGUCUGCUAGUCUUCUUUGAUCCUUGAAUUCUGUGGAGCUCAAAUAGACAACAAAGCUUUGUGGAACUAGUUAAGUGUUAGCAUAAAUAUCUAGCCUUUAUCAUGUUGGGCCUCCUCAAUAAAUGUUACUCAUUACUAGGAUCAUAAUUUUAUUUUUAUAAUUUUAUUUUUAUAGGACAGGAAUAUAUUUAUUUUAUUUUUAUGCCACCACAGUGAAUGUACUUAUGGGCAUGGGGCUUACUAUUUUUAACAUUUUUAUUUUCUUUUUAAGUUGAUAUGAACCUGAUUAACUAAGCAAACUAUUUUAAAUAAUUGAAAGGGAAAAAGGGAUAACUACCAAGUUUAACUCUUACCAAGGCGUUCGGUGUUUUUAAGUCCUCCGAACGGGACUCUCUAUUUUCUCAGUUGUCCUGGGAUUCGCUGGAUGGCGUAGUCAGUGGUUCCGGCGGCGCCUGGUCUUCAUGUAUAACUAUCUUCUCUCUCCACACCUGACACGGUGCUACAGUCUCCUCAGGACAGUUCUGUUCAAGUUGUAUGUCUUCAGACCUUACCACUUCUCCUUCAUAAUCCGCCCAUUCGUCCUUGAUAAUUUGCCUACUCUGGUUGCGGUUGCGUCGUCUUCUUCUUGUCCUGACCUGCUUAGAGUCUUUCAACUAUGUAGUUAAGGUUAGUAAAAUAGUGGCGUACCUUUUCAGAGGAGAAGUGCAUGUGGGCUCCGCCGGUUCCAAUGUAGAUGAUUGCUUUAACGGUGUUGAGGAACGGUCUUCCAAGGAUGAUGGGUGGAUCGUACUCGUCUUCUCCUAUGUCAAUAACUUCAACCUUCUGAAAUGUUUGAUCUGCCAUCUGGAGCUGGGUGUAUGUCGGUUUUAAGGGCAUGAUUCCCAACAGAAGCUGAUAGGUAACUAAGUCGUCCUUUUUGGUCAGGAACGGUGACUUAAAUAGAUGAUCUUGACCUCCUUGAACUGCAGUGACCAUCUUAGCUGACUCGGUCCACACUUGCUUGUUCUUGUUCCUCCUGUUGGUCCUCUUCCUUGGUUCAUGUCGGGAAUGCUCUGAGAUUGUGUAGUCUUAUUCUUGAAGGAAAAUGUCUCAUUUCUCCCUUUGAUGUAGAAACUGAUCUUGGCAGCACUAGCGUAGAUGACAGCUCCCGAGGUGUUCAGGAAUGGCCUCCCUAAGAUGGGUGCCCUCUCAUCAGUAUCAGUCUCUAUCACCACGAAGUUUGCUGGGGCGUACAAGGUACCAACUCGAACGCAGAGGUUCUUCAAUAUUCCCUUUGGGAAACUUAGUGUCUGAUCUGCAGGCUUGGGCAUUAUGUUGACGCUGGAGCCAAAGUCGCAGAGUGCUUCUAGGAAGUCCACCAUGCCGAUGGAGAUCGGGAUGACGGGGCAUCCUGGGUUGUCUCUCUUGACCGGCAGAAGGUCAGUAAUUACUUCCACUACGGGGUUACUCCAGUAGUUACGUCCUCAAGCAUCUCAGGGCAGUGAUUGCCUGAGUGUCUAGUAUCUCCAGUGUGUUUGUGCUCCUAGAUCUAGGUUCUUCACUUGGUGGAGUCUGGGAGUUGUAAAACUCCUUCAUAUUUUGUUUGAAGUAUACCUGCUCAUAAAGACAAGGCAGAGAUCAAGUGCCUGGGCCCUGUUGGUCGAAAACACCAACAGAACCAAAAGUGUAUUUGUUCUUCUCUAACCUUAAGCAUAGUGAGCAAGACAAAGUUGAAGGAUAAUAAGAUCAUGAGUGUAGCAUUUAAAGCAUUUGUCAGAUCAGAUCGCUCAACCUAAUGGAAAAAUAAUCUAUCUAUAUUUAUGUUGUUUUGUUUUUUUAUAAAAUAUAUCUUCCAAAGAUUGAGUGUGCAACAUUUUAGCUCAUAUGAUUAGGAGUGUGGGAUCACAAAGGUGGAAUGACUAAACAUAUUGAAUCGACUGGGUUGGUUAAUCUAGAUUUGUAAACCAUACAUGUUUGUCUCUUUUAUUCAUGUGAACGCCAGAACCAAGGAGAAGCUUAUAAAAGUGAUAGUCAAGUACCUUAAGAUGUUACCUUACUUGAAGAGUGAUGGUACGGUAUCUCCUUGUGGAAGCUUUCCUUUCUUAGCGGUUGUGCAUCGUGUUUGUAGCACCCUCCAUGGAUCAUCUCUUGUGAGCUAUGCCUUCCUUGUGUAAAUUGUUAAACUUCAUGUGCCUCUCUCUUUGUCAAAAAUGUGAGUGUAUCUCAGGACUUCCCAGGUCGAUAGUGAAAGUUUUCCUGUAGGGGUUAGUCCAACAAAAUAUCCCAUAUCUACUAUAGCAUACUAUCGGCUCAAAAAUCAACCUAGACACCAUGUCUAAUUUGAUUCAGGAGGGAUUUUUUAACCUAAGCACCAUGCUUAAUUUAAAACCAAUUGGAAGUAAGAUCAUCAUUCCUAAACUAAGCACCAAGCUCAAUUAAGAGAUAAAUGAAACUACUCCAAACCUAGACAUAUACUAAAGCAAAUAAAGGUAGCAUGAGAGCAUUUAUAGAGAUCUACUCAAGUGGAGAUGAAGUAGUGUGAUUAGUAUUUAACAAAUUGAGCAUGUCUCAAUGGUAGGGUCAACCAAUAUAGCAACAUGGCAAAGGAUGUUUUUAUGUAAAGUACUCCCCCAAGCUUGAAUUUUGCAAAAUUCAAGUUUGGAUGAAUUUAAUUCAAUGUUGUAUGAUGAUUGGUUGUACAUACCUUGUGCUUGUCAUUCAUCCGAUCUUCUUGCUCCAAUCCUGGAAAGGUUAGUGACAAGAAUACCCGAAGGAAUUUUUUUACAAUUAUCCUUAUAUGCUCAAUACACAAGUUAAUGUUGCAAAUAAUAAAAAGUUCAUGUUAUAAUCUGAUUAGUGCUUGUUUUAGGACACUAAGCUUGUCCUUGGGAAACCAUCAAUUUAUGUCAGUGAAGUGGUUUCCCCUCCAACGCUGACCUAUAUCAAGAUCAACUCAACGAGAUCUGCAAAAUUUAUUAUAAACAUAUGCAUCGACAACCGCCCUUUUAAAGUUUUUGUAAAUAUAAAGGAAGAGGGGGUUGGAGAUCUCGAAUGUGGUGAUGUUGGAGAGACCAAUGGAUUGUGAAGAUGUUGCAUAUGAGCAUGGAGUAAAUGAAGUGGCUAUGAAAUAAAUUCCAUGCUCAUUAAUGCUUAGAGUGAAAUCCAUGUGGUAUGGUGAAAAUGAUAAGGUGAGUGUGGUAAAAAAAAGAAAAGAAAAAGGAUACACGGACAACUUGGUUCGAAACUAGCACAGCUACCGUUCCCCGGCAACGGCGCCAGAAAGCUUGUUGGGUAUUUUAAACGCAAACAGAAAAAAUCUGCAAGCGCACGGAUACCGAUGUAGCUUUCACCCGGGAGUAUUCCAGAGUAUCGAUUUUCCACAGAGAACGUGAGUGUACUAAUUAAGAUCCAAGAUCACCCAAGGAUAACUAUAUAAUUAUUUUUGGUGGGAAGAGAGAAAGUUUUCUGAGAGUUCUCUAGUUGAUCUAAGAAUCAAGAAUUACUUCAAGAUUAUCUAUAUCGGGACAUCAGAGCACUAACCACAUAAAGAGAUGAGAAGGGGGCUAGGAAGGUCUGACUACGGUCCUACAAACACCGAUCCGAACGUGGUGGAAUACGUCGACCGUUAGGUCUGUCACUACCCUAAGGCUACCACAACAAUCCACAGGAUUGGGUGCAAUUCCAGGUAAUUGCAAGACUAAACACCACGUCAAAUCUAUUAAUUACUACUCUAGCGUUAUAAAGACUAGAGCACUUGAUGCAAGCGGGAAUCCAAUAAAUAACUUGAAUGUAAAUAAAAGUAAUUAAAGAACUCAGGAAUUAUGAAUUGAAGAACCUGGAGAACGAUGAAGAACGAACCAGAUGUUGCAAAAGUAUAAUGUUGAGGAAGAUCCGACAGAUCCGGCUCCUCCUCCGCUCUCCUCUUCUCUCUCCCUAUUUUCUAGAUUACAACUAGUACUAACUAGAACUAGAACUAGAGGAACUAGAACUAGAACUAGAUGAACUAGAACUAGAUCUAGAUGAACUAGAGGUAGAACUAGAAGAACUAGAGGGAUCCUCUCUACUUGGAUGAAGAAUUGAAACCCUAACUUUGAUUCUGUAGAAGAGGUAUGAUCUCCAGGGGCCAGGGGGGUCUGGUUUUAUAGUCUCUUCAAGUGAAUCUGGGCCGUCGGAUCAAACCGACAUUGAUUGAACGGUUAUUGUUGAUCCUUUAGGUCGGUGGAGCAAUAUCCCGAAAGAGAGUCCUGAUUGGACUCUGGCUGAGGGCGGGCGCCCAAGAAAGGACGGCAGGCGCCCUGUCCCUGUGUCCUCUCGGCCUCCGCUUCGGUCCCGUGGCUUUUGGAGUCUUCUAGAUGAUAGAAAAUUGCGCGGCACAUUAAUAUCUCUAUGUAAACCCGACGUGUGGGCCUUUCUUCCAUAUUUCCUGAUAACCCCCUGCAGAAAUACACAAACACCAAAACUCGUGGAAUUCUAUCAGAUAAAACCCUAAGUCUAGGUGUUGGUUGCAUAUAAGUCCUUUUCUAUGAUUAAUUGAUGGUUAAAUAUGAGCAUUGAGGACCGUCAACACCCUCAUAAAGAGUUUGGAAGAAUCGGCUGACCUGGUCUUCAUUGCCACCAGUACCAGGUAAGACUAUGGCAGCCUCACCAUAGUUUAAGGGUGGGCGAGUUGCCGAUUCUUCAUUAGCCAAUUCGUGAUCUUUGGCAAUAUCUCUGGGAAAGCGUUGUGCAAAGAGGUCGAAUCCAAGGCGUUUGUGCAUGUGAACACUGAGCCACAUGUUAAUGAACCACCAAGGACCUCCUAAGUUGCCGAUAGGUUGGCCUAAUAGAAGUUUCUCAGCAACUUGAUGGAGAAGGUGAUAAGCAGAACCAAGCAAGUAUCGGCCGAGAGCAAAUCGGCCGCCAUCGGCCAGUCUUUCUGCUGCCGAUAAAUAGACAGAGGUUGGUCCUACCGAUCGGCCACAGAAAACGAACCUGUCUAACCACAUGUUCAGGAAAACAGCAUGCUCCCUCUGACCGACUGGCCCUGUUUUUCGGUACUUCUGAAUGUAUCCUGACCAACCGCCGAUGUUGCGGGUUUCUACUUUGCGCUCAGGUUUGCGAUCAUAUAGAUGGUUAUCAUCGGCAGUUGAUAUGUCUAAACCAGUGAGCAUGAGCACAUCGGCAAGAGUAGGGGAAGCAGGGCCAUGACUAAACACAAAGGCAUUGAGGGUAUCUGACUAGAAGUAUGAAGCAACUAUCAAUAGCGAUUCAUUUCUUCCCAUAUCGGCAAUGGAUAGCCUAAUGCACUGAUCUUGUUUGCGCUCACCCCAUUGGAAUUCAUUUGAGUUGCCAAUUCUCAGAAACCAAUCUUUCCACCCAUUGGUAGAACUAGGCCAGGAUCGAAAGGUAUCUUUCCACAGAUCUAGUGAGAAGUUCUCAGCUCUAAAGGGGAUCCUAUUUGUUUCUGCAUUUAUCCAGCCGGUAGGAUCUGGGUUUCCCAAUGGACCAAGGCAUUGGAAGUGGGGUUGAUCGGUAGGAAUAACAAUUUUCUCGGUCAAUUCCUAAAGAAAUAAAAUACCAAGUAAAUAACUGCGCGAGAGAUCAAAAAUACAGUGAAAAGAAGAAAGGUGAUCCUAAAUUGACCUCAGGAACGACGAAGUUGAUUGCCAUUUCUUUCCGAGAGGAAGAAGGGAUCAAAGACUCAGAAGAUCGUUGGAGGAGAUCCUUGCCGGAGUUCUUGAGUUUCUUGAACAGUGCCGCCGCGAGGAAGGUGGGUUUGAGGAUGUGGAAUGACGAGAUGGAGGAAGAGUACCGGAGAAGGCAGUAUUUAUAGGGUAAAGUGAGCAGGGGCAUUUUUGACUUAUCUCUUUGCCACAUCCGUGAAAUCCGAGGAUGAUCAAUUGGAUAUGGUAACUGUUCGCACGGCAAUGAAGGGAUUAUGCAGGUGAUUUUACAGCAAGCGGUCAUGAUUUUGAAGAUAUUUUACUGUGUGAGAUCUCCUGGUUGGCUGAUCGGUAGUUUCUCUCUAAUGGAUAUAUUGCCGAUGAACGUAUAUUUAGGAGAUUCGGUUCGAAAAGUUGAGAGAUUCAGGUAUAUGCUAGAGAACCGGACUGAGGUUGUUUGAAUUUGGCAAUUAAUGACCAUCAGGGGGAAAUAAUUGCAAAAAGGGCGUAUUUAUUGGAGACAAUUUCGGAGCAUCCGUUUUUGGACAUGUAUCUUUGGACGCGUAUCUGGAGUUAAUGAGGCGUGGAUCGGCAGGUAGAAAAGUGGUGACUAGUUGAGGGGGGUUGGUGCCAAUGAGAAAACGUCAGAAUGUGGCCAAGUCCAGGAGUGGUGAUGGAUCUAUGCCGAUGACUGGUGCUGAUGGUUGCCGAUGGCUAUGAGAGGUGGUUCACCGGUGGUCACAAGGGAAGGCACAGGAAUUAUCGGUCAGGUCAUGGUGGUGUACGGAUCGGUUGUGGAAGAUAACUUAAUGUUUUUCAUAGUUAGUAGAGUUUGUUUUGUAUACGGAUUCCGUUCAAUUUGGAAUUCGAGUCCUAGUCAUGUUUGAUUGUAACCCUUUUGGGCCAGGUAUAAAUAUGAGACUCCGUAGCGAUGUAUGAACAUACACAAUCAAUUCCAGCAUCUACUUUUUCGACGACUUCGUUAACCUGCAUAUUUUUCCUUUUACUACGAGUUCUUUGGAAUUCUUCGAGUCAACUGUUGACGGUCCUUAAGUAUCAAAUUUAAUUAUCAAAUAAAUAAAGAAAAGGAUCCAAAUGAAAUCAAAAUCUAGACUUAGGGUUUUAUCUGACAGAAUUCCACGAGUUUCGGUGUUUGUCUAUUUCUGCAGGGGGUUAUCAGGAAAUACGGAAGAAAGGCCCACACGUCGGGAUUACAUAGAGAUAUUAACAAGCCGUGCAAUUAUCUUACAUCUAGAAGACUCCAGAAGCCACGAGACCGAAGCGGAGGCGAAACGGGGCCAGAGGCAGGGCGCCCGCCCUCCUGCCCUGGGCGCCCACCCCCUCUGAGAGUCCAAUCAGGACUCUGGUUUGUGGGAGAUCUCCACCGACCUAAAGGAUCAAGGAUAACCGUUCAAUCUAAGUCGGUUUGAUCCAACGGCCCAUAUUCACUUGAAGGGACUAUAAAACCAGACCCCCUGGCCCCUGGAGGAGAUAGCCUCUCAACCCUAAUUCGUUAUUCUUCAAGGGAGAAGAAGCCCCUGAUCAAGAUUAGGGCCACCACAUCAAUUAGACAUCUAGAUUAGCAUAGCUACAUAGGAUUAGAACUAGAAGGAGUCAAUCUUCGAUUGGUUUCCGGAUCUGUCAAGAGGAUUCUUGGUAAUUCUCUAAUUGUGCUUCUAAUUGCUUUCUAAUUAUCUUUGUUCUUCAAUAUUAUGAAUAUGACUUUGUUCUACUUCAAUAUAUUGCAUAUGACUUUGCUCUACUUGUUUAUAUUCAAGAUUAUAUUGUUCUUAGUUUAUCAUAGUUAUGUACUUGGCUUAGUUAGAUUGGAUCUAUAUACAUGCUUAGGAUCGUAUAGCGUUUAUCCAUCGGAUCCAUGGGUAAAUGAUAGAUAUUGUGUAGGCGUGGUGCUUAUACCGUAUUUAUCUGCGAUUGUACCCAAUAUGCCAGAUCGUGGGGUAGUUCGUGAUAGUGACAGCUUCAUUGAUUCUUAUAUAGUCCCCCUCUCGUGUAUUGGGCUGGCAGAGCAACAUUAUUAUAGGGUAGUGAUUGCUAUGUUUCUCAUUUACCUUGCUAAUAUCACUAUGCAUGGGUGUAGUCUUGUCUCACAAUGAUUGCUAAGUAUGCUUGCACUAACUAUGAUAAUGCUAGACUAUAUAGUUGAGAAUAACUUAGGAAAUAUUCUUGUAGUUCGUUCUAAUUCCAUGCUAAUGACUUUCUAGAGUAUCUAAUUGAGGUGCUUAUCAUAUUUAUAUGUGGCUAGUUAUGAUCAGAUUAAUUAUCCUUGUCACUAUUCAUUAUUUCAUAUAUCUUUUAUGUGACACUUACCCCUGUAUGAAAGAGUUAGAUAUAUGUUCUCAAUUAUACAUGCAAUGAUAGAUACUCAAUCUCAUAUUCUAUUCUAUAAUCAAUAUUGAUGAUUGUUAAUCCCUUCCCAGUGGUAAAAAUAUAAAUAACGAUACUUGGAAUACUUCCCGGUUAAAAUACUACAUCGGUAUUAAUCUGUGCGCUUGCAGAUCCCAUUCAUUAUUUAUUUAGAAGAGCAAUUGCAUAUUUCAAUACCGCGUCUCUCAUGUCAUGCUGGGGAUGACAACUUGGCUUAAGUGGUAUGAGGGAUAGGUUUGGCAUUUUUGGAACCGUUACAAGAAUUAGGAAUUGUCUACUUUUGGUAGUGAUGUUAAGAAUACCCAACAUCAACCUCGGCGAAUUCUCGAGUUCCGUGUGAAUACUUCUUGGACGUGACAUCCUGGCGCAUCGUUGUUGUUGGGACCAAAGUAUUCGAGUUACCACCUUUGUCGAUUGUAAGGACAAAUCGGCUGGCACGGCAUAACGUUGGAUCAGGUAUUAGCCCUUUGUGUUUGCAGAUCUACUUUUGCAUCAACAGUAGUCGGUUUGGCUCUGGGCCUGGAUCUCUCCCGUGGUUACGAUCAGGCCCAGCUCUGCGUUGUUCGGACCUUUCUCUAUUUUCUUGGUUUGCGCAUUUCUGAAUAAAUCUUUUGGUACUUUGCGCUUUCUUCAUGGUAUGGCACAUUUUCACUUGUUGCACUAUAAUUCCUGCAAAAUAUAAUCACUAUGGUACAAGUGGAACUUGUUAGUAAUAAAAUGCAUGUGUGUAUAUAAUAUGAUUGCUUCUUCUCCUUUUGGAUCAAGUUGGCAGUUUAUAAUUGGUCUAUAAUGACUGCCAACACCUAUCUCUCUGCUCUCGCACUACAAACACAUCCUGGCUCAGCGCACUGCUCCUCUGAACUGCCUAUUCUCUCCUAGUAGUCAAGCAGGCAAGCUCCGCCUGCAACCUCUCGACCUCACUACCGAAGUCACGCUACGUAGCACUUCUCAUCAUAGACUGUCAGCAACGACCCAGUCAAGCACCCCAAACAGUGCUGUAGACCCCCAUAGGUCAUCAUCAUGGUGAACAUGACACUUACAGCUACACUGUCAUUGUGUUGAUCCUCAUCCACACUCCACUCUAAGGCAUUCCCCUUGGACUGAUCCCACACCAAGGUGUAGGGGUCACCCCCUGGGAAACACCCCAACAAAGGCGUGAGCUAACUCCUACGGAAAUCUCUCCAUCAGAUCCCUUGGAACUGCAAACGUAGCCUUGCUGGCUCCCUCAAAAGGAGUACUGCCUCUGGAGUCAAACACCCAGCCGCCCCAAGUGGGGUCACUACCACUACUAGGAAUCACUGCCUCGACACCAACUAGGGUUCCAUCACCUAACUGCUCUAUGCUCUAGUAGUAGCGAGGCUCCCUUCCAUCAGGAUACCCCAUCACACUGAGUUCCCUCCAAAGCAAAGUGGGCAUGCCAAACUCCACCAAGAAUUUGCUGUUGUGACAUGAAUCCCUAAGAACCAGCUGAUGGCGAGGAACCCACCCUUUGGUGGACUUGCAAGCGGUACGCCUGGUGUGAGCCAUCUGCUGAAAUAGGAUACCUUCGAGGAGAACUGAGGAUUAUCUUUAUCAUUUUUAUCAAAAUGGGAUAGAGUAACAUAAGGGGAGAGACCAAGCAGUGAUACGAAAUGAACAUGAUGUAUGCAUGAAUCUUAUGAUCUCAUAAACUUAGGAACAAAAGUUAGAACUAGCGGUGUGUUGAAGGUCCUUAAGUACCAAAUAUAAUCAUCAAAUAAAUAAAGAAAAGGAUCCAAAUGCAACCAACACCCAAACUUAGGGAUUUAUCUGACAGAAUUCCAUGAGUUUUGGUGUUUGUCUAUUUCUGCAGGGGGUUAUCAGGAAAUACGGAAGAAAGGCCCACACAUCGGGUUUACAUAGAGAUAUUAACAUCAAUUUUCUAUCAUCUAGAAGACUCUAGAAGCCACGGGAACGAACGGGAAGGUGAUCGGGCCCAGGGGCAGGGCACCCUCCCUCGCCUCUAGGGCGCCCGCCCAGCUAUAGAGUCCAAACAGGACCCGUCUCGCGGAUUACGUUCCACCAACCUAAAGGAUAAAGGAUAAUCGUUCAAUUAAUGUCGGUUUGAUCCGAUGGCCCAGAUUCACUUGAGGGGACUAUAUAAGCAGACCCCCUGGCCCCUGAAGGAGAACAAGUUCAUUGUAGAGUUGAGAGGUGCCCUCGAAGGAUAACCUUUCCUCUACAUAGACAGAGCAGAAGCUAGGGUUUGGAGAUGAGAGCUCUCCUCUCAUCUCUAAACUAGAGUAGAUCUAGAUAGUAGCAAGAUGGAGAGCGAGGGAGGAUUGGAGGAGAGGCCGGCCUGUCGGUUCUUCCUCCGGUUGUACUUCGCCAUGAUCAAGCUCUAAUCAAGCUUGCUCAUGGGAUGACUCUGGUAAUCUACAUCUAUUUCAUUAUGCAAUUACUAUUCAUGUAUGUUCUGGUUCACAACUCUUUUGAGUACUUUAAUCUAUAGGACGCUAUAGGUGAGAGUUGCAGUAUAGGUGUAAUCGUGGUGCUUAGACCUAGAUUACUUGUGGAUAUCCCCUGUCUAGCUAGAUCGUGUGGUAGGCCGCGUAGGUGACAGUUACGUUGGUCCCCUAUAGUCCACCUCUUGUUAGCAGGACGGGUAGGGUUUAUCGGCCUAUGGAUAAGCAUCCUUUGUGGUGUAUUCUUAUCACGUGGUUCGUCCCAGACAUAGACAUACCCCUUUGAAGUAGAGAAAUCAUAGUUAUCCUCUCUAUUCUCCUACCAUCGCCCAUAUAUUAGAUUGCUCUACUCUAUAUUCCCCCAUUAUCAUUUUACCUUUGAUAUUGUUCUUAUUUCAAUUCUACCAUCUUUCCUAUUUACACUUAUCCAUCUAUCUAGGUUAAGUUAGAGCAUAGAUCAGUUCUCCCGUUUCCCUGUGGAUACGAUAAAACCUUUAACCGGGUAAAAGCUACAACGGUAUCCCUACGCUUGCGGAUUUAUCUGUGUGCGUAUAAAUAUCAUAGUACACUCUAGUGCCAUUCUGGGGAUGACAACCUAGUAUUCAAGUGGUGUUAGCAAGUGUCAACAAGAAUUUUUGGCGCCACUGACGGGGAGACGGUUGCUGAGUUGACUACGAACUAGCUUAAUCAUUUUCUAAAAAAUAAUAAAAAAUAUACUUUUCCUUUUAUCCUUUGUCUUAUCUCUGCUAUUCUUUCUUCUUAUCUAGUCCUUGAUUUCUGGUCUAUCAUGAAUACAAACAUGUCUGUCUAUCAAUUUCAUAGACCUACGGGCACACAUCUCGAACCACCAAAAUCUUCAAAUCCUAUCAUAGCAUCUAGUUUUGAGAUAGACCCCAAAUACAUAGAAUUUGUUCAAAAACAACCUUUCUCAGGAGAAGGUAAGGAAAACUCAUACACACACCUAAGAGAGUUUUAUCGAGUCUGUGACCUCCUUCGCAUUGAAGGCAUGUCCGAUGAGACCCUUAAAUGGAAGGUCUUUCCAUUCUCUUUAACAGGAAAAGCUAGACAUUGGUACAAACUAAAAGUAGGGAGUGUUCAUAGAGAUUGGAAGGAGUUAUAUAAUAGUUUUCUUUUUAAAUAUUUUCCAAUCUCCAAGUGGUGGAACUUUGGCCUAAGAUUCUUUCUUUUAGACAACUGGAAGAAGAAUCUCUCGGCAAAUCAUGGGACCGCUAUAUUAACCUUACUCUCACUGGCCCAAAGCUUUCUAUUCCACAAGAAGUUCUUCUAAUUCACUUUUUUGAGGGCCUUAGUAGGGAAAAUAAGCAAACCUUGAAUACAGCCUCUAGAGGAUCCUUCUAUCACCUACCUGCUAGUGAAGCUAGGGAUUUAAUUGAUUCAUUGAGUGGAAAGUUUCCUAGCAUUUAUAUCCCUGAGAAAGAGAAAGAACCAGUUCCUAGACAAGAAGAGGAAGUUUCGAUAGCCAAAUUACAACCACUUCAAUCCCAAACUUUAGCUAUCGAUCCUAAACCAUCAAUACCUCAAAAUUCUCCAAGGGAGGAAGGAAUUUCGACCUUAAAUCUUUCAGAUACUGAUGGUUUAGACUCCUGGUUCCAUAAGAGACUUUCAAGUAGGGAUAAUUAAAAUUCUUGCAAUAAUGGUUCUCUUAAAGAAUGUCCUGGUUUCUAUUAUGAAGAAGUCGUGGAUGACAUAUCAAGUGAAGGAGAGGUAAACCAUAUAGAAAAUUCUAUCUGCUCCCCUUCCAUGUUCACAAAUUCUAAAUCCAUCCUUGACCUUAGAGACCCCUCUUAUCCCUCUCCUUUUCAGUCUCAUGAUGAUCCUAGCAAUCCAUCAAGACGACCAAACCAUAGGAGUCAUGAAGACCAUAAGGAUUGCAUGACAAGUAAUGCCAUAGAAGGAGAGCUAAGCCAUAUAGAAGAUUCUAACACCUCCCCUUUCCUCAUCGCAAGUUCUAAAUGGCUAGAAUAUGUAGAAUGGAUGGACAAGGAAGAAGCCUUAAUGGAUUCUGACUUUGGCUCAAUUUCAAAUGGUGAGUUCUUGACUCCAUUUGAAGAUGAGAUUCAUCCAACUGCAGAAGAGGACAUAGGUGAGACCAAUCCAGGAGAAACUAUGAACAUUCAUAUUGGAGACGAAGAUAACAUUAAUGAGCAUGGAAUUUAUUUCAUAGCCACUUCGUUUACUCCAAGCUCACAUGAAACAUCUUCCGAAUCUAUUGGUGUCUCCAACAUCAUCACAUUUGAGAUCUCCAACCCCCUCUUCCUUUCUAUUUAUAAAAACUUUAAAAGGGCGGUUGUCGAUGCAUAUGUCUAUAAUAAAUAUUGCAAAUCUCAUUGAGUUGAUCUUGAUAUAGGUCAGCGUUGGAAGGGAAACCACUUUGCCGACAUAAAUUGAUAGUUUCCCAAAGACAAGCUUAGUGUCCUAAAAUAAGCACUGAUCGGAUCGUAACAUGAGCUUUUAAUUAUUUGCAACAUUACCUUGUGUAUUGAGCUUACAAGGAUAAUUGUAAAAAUAUUCCUUCGGGUAUUCUUGUCACUAACUUUUCCAGGAUUGGAGCAAGAAGAUCGGAUGAAUGACAAGCACAAGGUAUGUCCAACCAAUCAUCAUAAAACAUUGAAUUAAAUUCAUCCAAACUUGAAUUUUGCAAAAUUCAAGCUUGGGGGGAGUACUUUACAUAAAAACAUCCUUUGCCAUGUUGCUAUGUUGGUUGUCCCUACCUUUGAGACAUGCUCAAUUUGUUAAAUACUAAUCACACUACUUCAUCUCAACUUGAGUAGAUCUCUAUAUAUGCUCUCAUGCUACCUUUAUUUGCUUCAAUAUAUGUCUAGGUUUGGAGUAGUUUCAUUUAUCUCUAAAAUAAGCAUGGUGCUUAGUUUAGGAAUGAUGAUCUUACUUCCAAGGGAUUUUAAAUUAAGCAUGGUGCUUAGGUUAAAAUGCCCUCCUAAAUCAAUUUAGACAUGGUGUCUAGGUUGAUUUUUGAACCGAUAGUAUGCUAUAGUAGAUAUUGGAUAUUUUGUUGAACUAACCCCUGUAGGAAAACUUUCAAUAUCGACCUGGGAAGUCCUGAGAUAAACUCACAUUGGAGACAAAGAGAGAGACACAUCAAGUUUAACAAUUUACACAAGGAAGACGUAGCUCAUAAGAGAUGAUCCAUGGAGGGUGCCACAAACACGAUGCACAACCGCUAAGAAAGGAAAGCUUCCACAAGGUGAUACUGUACCAUCACUCUUCAAGUAAGGACCUGGAUCUGCGAGCACAAACACACUGAGCAAGAAACUGUCAACGCCGCACUUCGAACUGCUGGGCAAACGAAGAACAUGGGUGACACCGUAUCAAGAGGUGUAGAUGUCAAGGUCCACACCUGAAUCAAAUGACGUACCUAAAGAAUGAACAUGAUGAGAAGUCUUGUUCAGAAGACUUAAAACAUUGAACCCUCGCCGAAAGGUAAAAUCUGUAGUUAUCCAUAUUUAUCUUUUCUGCAUUCCUUUUCCUUUUUAUUCCAUCACUUGCAUUAGCAUAUCUACUUUUCCACAUUAGCAUUAGAAAAGAAAACAAAAAUAUUUGUUCGUUGCACUACAUCAUAAAAUCUAAAGCCCCAUGUGAGUAGACUUGUGGUUUAAAACCCAUAGGUAUAUUGACUGUGGUGGCAUAAAAUAAAUAUGUUUUCAUCUUACAAUAAAAAUAUAAAAAUAAUAAGUGCAUGAUCCUGCUAAAUAAAUAAAAUUUAUUAGGAGGAAUCUCAAUAUGAUAAAGGCUAAGAGAUUUUAUGCUAACACUUAACUAGUUCCACAAAGCUUUGUUGUCUAUUUGAGCUCCACUGAAUUCAAGGGUCAAAGAAGACUAGGAGACGGAGGACAUCCUAAUCGCUGUAAGGGUGCUGCCGACAUUCAAAUACACCUCCGCCACCUGCUAGCUACAUCAAAAGAAAUUACGUCAAAAUCCA
rnacentral:lncRNA from 1 species